rnacentral:lncRNA from 1 species
GUGGAGAUUUGUAGUAAUAAACUGGUGGGGGUGAGUAAGUUGGUGGUGGUGGAGAUUUGUAGUAAUAGACUGGUGGGGGUGAGUAAGUUGGUGGUGGUGGUGAUUUGUAGUAGUAUGGUGGAGGAGGAGAUGGUGAUGGUGGGGGAGGGGACUUGUAGUAAUAUGGUGGAGGAGGUGAUGGAGAUGGGGGUGGUGGAGAUUUGUAGUAAUAUGGUGGAGGAGGAGAUGGCGAUGGUGGUGGAGGAGACUUGUAGUAAUAUGGUGGUGGUGGGGAUGGAGAAGGUGGUGGAGGAGAUUUGUAAUAAUAUGGUGGAGGAGGAGAGUAGACUGGAGGUGGGGGUGAUUUGUAGUAGUAUGGUGGUGGUGGGGAAGGAGAAGGUGGGGGUGGGGAUUUGUAGUAGUAUGGUGGAGGAGGUGAUGGUGAUGGUGGUGGGGGAGAUUUGUAGUAGUAUGGUGGAGGUGGUGAAGGAGAUGGUGGUGGUGGGGAUUUGUAGUAGUAUGGUGGAGGAGGUGAAGGUGAUGGUGGUGGUGGGGAUUUGUAGUAGUAUGGUGGAGGAGGUGAGGGUGAUGGUGGUGGUGGAGAUUUGUAGUAGUAUGGUGGAGGAGGUGAGGGUGAUGGUGGUGGAGGGGAUUUGUAGUAGUAUGGAGGAGGAGGUGACGGCGAUGGUGGUGGUGGAGAUUUGUAGUAGUAUGGAGGAGGAGGUGAAGGGGAUGGUGGUGGUGGAGAUUUGUAGUAGUAUGGAGGAGGAGGUGACGGGGAUGGUGGUGGUGGAGAUUUGUAGUAGUAUGGUGGAGGAGGUGAGGGUGAUGGUGGUGGUGGAGAUUUGUAGUAAUAUGGAGGAGGAGGUGAAGGAGAAGGUGGUGGUGGAGAUUUGUAGUAAUAUGGAGGAGGAGGUGAUGGGGAUGGUGGUGGAGGAGAUUUGUAGUAGUAUGGUGGAGGUGGUGAUGGUGAUGGUGGUGGGGGAGAUUUGUAGUAGUAUGGUGGAGGUGGUGAAGGAGAUGGUGGCGGAGGUGAUUUGUAAUAAUAGGGUGGAGGAGGGGAGGGUGAUGGUGGUGGUGGAGACUUGUAAUAGUAUGGUGGAGGAGGAGAGGGAGAAGGUGGUGGAGGAGAUUUGUACUCGUACACAGGAGGUGGAGGAGACUUAUACUCAGGAGCAGAGUAAGGAGGAGGAGGAGAAGAGUAAGUCGGGGUCGGCGGCGGCGGCGGCGACUUGUACUCGUACGGUGGGGGUGGUGGAGAAGCAUAGACGUAAGCAUUUCCGGCAACGAAAUCUACAUUAGCAGAAAGAAGAAGAAUGGCGAAUGCCAUAACAAAUUGUGGCCAAGGACGACCCCAUGAGGGGUGGCCACGGUGAAUCUUCAUCGGAAAGUUGAAAAAAGAAACUCAAAGUUUCUGUGUCUCUCAAAACUCCAAAUGGAUGAGAGAGAAAGGAAGAAGAAUAGAGAGAGAAACCUUGAUGGUUUCUUUCCGUGAUUGUGUUAGAAUUGCAUGAAACUAUAAUAUAUUUAUAAUCACAUUCAAACCCCCUCAAUUCCAAGUAAUUUCCCGUUUCAUUUUGAUUAAUUCUUUAGAUUCCUCUUUUAACUUCCCCCAGCUGGCCUUCUCCAUUUUUUUAAUUAUUCAAUUCCUUAACUAAUUUCCCAUCUCAAACUUCACUCAAUUAACAUUCUAAUUUUAUUUUACAUAUUAAAAACCCAGUCCCCAGCAACUACCCCCUCAAAUUAAUUAUUGUUUUUUUUUUAAAAAAAUCAAUCAUUUCUUCACUUUAUUUCCCUCACUUUUUCUUGUUGCAAAAGAAACAACAAUUUCUUUUCUCAGAUCAGAUCUAGUAAUAUUAAUAUCAUGGGUAAUAAUGUGGGAUUUUAUUUUGAACUAAAAGGCUAUUUUUGUUCUAUAAUUACAAUUUAUUUUGGAGUAAGUGGAACUAUUUCCUAAUAGACUGACUUUUAUUAAAGUAAAAAAAAAAAAAAAAAAGCAGGUAAUUGAAUAAGACUUUUUUCGUGUAGUGAGUAAAAAAAAAAAAGGUUAAAAAUUAAAUUAAAAAUAGUGGGUGAAAAUAAAAGGCCAUCACGAGAUGAUUAGUUGAGAUUUGAAUAAAAGGCAUUUCGAAACGGAGAUGUGCAUUGAUGAGCGGCGGCGAUUUCACGGUGGGAUAAUACGUGGCAUAAUGUAAGACGUUGGAUGAAAUCUACUUUUAUUUAUGUCAAAUGUAUUAUUUUCUUUUAGAAUAAAAAGUAACGAAAAAAGAAAAAUGAUUUGGAAUUUUAUAGGCAGACAUUAUUUAGGCUGUAUAUGCCCUCCAUCUCUUCCAAUUUAUUAUUUAUUUUCCUAAUAAUUAAAAAGUACAAACUUUAUUUGUUUUAUUCAUGCCUAAAUUGACUGCUAAAAAUAUAAAAUAAUUUAAUUGUAUUAGUUACUAUAACUCAAAUUCAAUUAUGAUCAAAGUUCAUAUAUUAAAAAAGAUUUACCUAUUCAGUACGUUUAUCUUUAAUUAAUUUUGACAUUAUUAAAAUUUUCACAUAUACAAUUUAUUUGGUGAAAUUAUUCAUCAAUAUUCUAUUUUUUAAAAAUACAUAAAAAAGAAACGUGUAGAUUUGUGAUUUCGUUUGAAAGUAAUUUUCUAUUUCUAGUGUUUGUAUAAUUGAUUACAUGUUAAUCGAAAAGAAAAAUAACAUUUUCUGAUUUAUGGUGAUUUUCUCGGUACAAUUUAUGUUGAAUUGUAGUUUAUGGUUAAAUCUUUUGAGAUUAAAGAAAUAAAUUUAUUUUUAUCAAUAUUUAUUAAAAUUUACAAACAAUAAUUUACUUUCAAUACAACUUUUCUUUUAAGAUCGCAAUUAAAAAAAAAUUAUUUUAACAAAAAAAACAAUGAUAAAUCCUAAAUAACUUUCUUUUUGUUAAGUGAAGAAAAACUAAGAAAAAUUAUUCUUUUUUCUUUCUAUUUUAAUAAAAAAAAUAUGAAGAAAAUUUGUAUUUGCAUUUGUAUAUGUCAAACUAUAACGAAAUACAUAACUACGGUUUAUUUGAAAAUAUAAUGUGAUAUUUUGCUUUUCUUUUAAAAUGUUCUUUUAAAAAAUAAUUUAUUAUCUAUAGUUGUACGAACCUUUUUUCCUUUUUAACUAACAAUUUGAAUUUAGAUAUAGAUAGUGACGUGUGAACUAAAAUUUGAUUAAUAAAGAAUGAAUGGGUAAUUAAAUUAAAUAGAAUGAUAAAUUAUAGUGCUAAAAAUUACAAAAUUAGAUGGUAAUUAGAAAAGGUUAAAAGAAUAAAAGGGGAAAAGAAAAGUAAAAUAGUGAUGUGGUAGCUAAGUUUGAAGUGAAUUGGAAUUCAUGCAAGGAAUAACUUAGACCAAUAGCACUUUUGCCCCCACAAAUUUUUUAACCAUAUGAUGAUCCUAACAAUUCUUAUAAUUUAUGGACCACUCUCCACAUCUUUACUUUUACCUUUAAAUUGAAUUUUACUUUCAACAAAUAAUUAUGGCUAAAAAAAUAUACAUUUAUUCGUUUUUAAAACUCAUUCAAACACUUAAAAUAAGUAAUUAUUUUAAUGAAACAUGUUUGAGUAUUGAUUCGAGAGUCAUAUUUUUCAAAUUAAUAUUGGUAUAUAAAAUGAAUAAUUAAUAUGGUGGAAGAAAAUAGAAGAAUUUCUUAGAGUUUUUAUAUUAAUAAAAUUCUAAUUAAUUUCAAAUUUGGAUGGGGGGCUAAAUUUGAUUCAUAAAUAAUGGAGAUUAAUCAAAAGGACAAAGUACCUAUAUAUAUAUAUUGACUAACAUAUUGAGGCACAUGGUGUGGUGGGGUUUACAUUACAAUUUCUUCUUCUUCUUCUUCUUUUUUCUUUUUUUUUUUUUUUUUUUGCUUCUCACCACUACGUACCUUCUUUUUCUUUUUUCCUUUUUUUCCUUUUUCUUUUUAAUUUAUCCACAAAAUAAUAUCUAUAAUAAUAUUAAAUAAAGUAGAGGUUCAAUAAUAUUUGUCAAUCUUUUAGCUAUUUGUCUAAUCAAAUCCAAUAAUUUCCCAAGAAAAAGAAGAAGAAAAAAAAAAGAUUGUUUUAGAACAAAAUAUCCUCUACAUUGGAUUGAAAGAAACAUCUCAACUGAAAAAGACUUUUAUUCAUCUUUUUAUGGUAGUGUAAUUGAGAUAAAUCCAAGCUUUUACUUUCUUUUAAAAAAAAAUUAAAUUACAACUUUGGUUUCUGGGACAAUUUGAUAUAUGUGACAUGAAUUUAAAAAGUAUCUCAUAAUUUUGUUUAAAAAAGAUACAUGACUUAAGAUUUCAAAAAAAAAUUUAAAGAAAAAAAAAACUUAAGAUACAUCUAAAAAUUAACACAACUAUAAAAAAAAAUAGACAAACAAAACUAUAAAAGAAAUAGGACUAACACAUUUUCAGAUAUUGUAGUUUCUUCCGUGAAAAAGUAUUACUAUUUAUUACUCUAUUUUCUUCGUUAAAAGUUACUCUUAAUGAAAAAUUUUAACGUCUAAUUAGAAAAACUCUUAUACUUUUUGCCCUUUCCUUUCCAUUCAAAACUUACGCUCAUGUGCUUAUUUUUAUAAGUUGUAAUCAAAGUCAAAAGAAAAUGGUUGAAAUAAAUGUUGACAAUCAAGUAGAGGUUUAUGGUUCAAAUCGUCGUUUUGGGUUAAAGGUUCGAAAUGGAGAUAGAAGCUUCUCAUUUUGGAGGGGCAAGGUUGUAAAAUAGUGAAGAGAGUUGUUGGAUGAGAGGGAAUAUCAUUGAGUAAAGGGAAUGAGAAGAAGAAGAAGAAGAGAAAGAUACAUAUAUGUUUGUUAAGAUUAUAUAAAUAAAAAUGGAAUUGUCGCUGUCAAAUGGAGCGGCCAACCGAAGGCGGCUAUCUGUGUUGUGUGUGUGUGUGUGUGGUGGCUUGGCUGGUUGGCUGGCAAUUGGUACAAUGAGUUGGAAUAUUGACAAAUUUCAUUUCAUCAUCUCAACCCAAACUUUUCCCUACUUCUUUAAUCAACAUUUCUUUUAAUUUACCUCCUCUAGACAAUUUAUGAAGAGAGUCGAUAAUCGAACUUGAUUUACACGAUACACAUCAACGAUCAAUUGAUUCAUAAUUAUAUCUUAAUCGAGGAAUGUGACAACCCUAUUUUUACUGUUUGAGAUUUUAUCUUAGGUUCUUGUUACUAAGACUAAUUGGUAGGUGAAGUAGUUGAUGAGUAAUCUAUAAAUGUUCGUUUAAUAUGAGAGUCUUUACCGUAAAAAUAAACAUGUUUUAAAUAAAAUCGAAAAUAAAAAUGGUGGAGGCUUUCUCUUCCAAGAGUUUGAUUCAAAUGUAUUAUAAUCAUUUUUAAAUUAACAAACAUGGAGAAAAGGUUUUUUUUUUUAUAAAAAUAAUGUGAAGUCAUUUUUGUGACAGUUGUUGGGUUGAAAAAAAUGAAAUUCCAAUCUGUUUUCAAUAUCAAUAUAAUGAGACCAAAAGACUAAUAAAACUAAACUCUAGAAAAUCUAGAAUGGACGGCGUUUAUUGUAAAUUCACUUUAAUAUUAAAAAGAAAAAUAAAACCGUAAAUAUUUGUUGUCAAAACGAACACAACCCACUGACAUACGAGUGACUAACAAAAUUAUGGAUAUUUCUUCUAUAUAUGUAUAUAAGCAUUUAUCGAUCCCACGAAGCCAUAUUUGUAUAUAGGUUAUGUGUGUCUAAACUAUAUUUCAUGAUUUUUUAAAUUUUAAUUAUUCUAUCGUAUUCAUCCAUAAAAAUAAAUUACAUGUAAUCACUAAACAUAUAAAAAAUGACGAUAUAUAUGCGUGUGAAAUCCAAAGCAAUAUGAGAACAUGAAUUGUUACUAUAAUCAUACCUACGAGACUUGAUUGUUAUGUCAUAACAAGGUAAAAUCAAAUCAAAUUAUGUCAUUAUUCUAUAUGGAAAAUAUGAUGAUAUUAAUUAAUUAGUACAUAAAGUAAGUAUGAUAUGUAAAAAUAAAUGAUGAGAUUGAGCUGCCCCUUUGUAUUGUAAUUAAGAUUAAAACAAUUUGGUUUGCAUCAACAAGUUGCCAAUUUCUUCCAUCACCUUUGCCUUCACCUAACACAACAGUUAAUUGCUUGUCUUUCUUUGCUUUCUAUUCUUUUUCAUUAUAUAUAUAUAUAUAUAAUUCCUUUUUUUUUCCUUAGAGGGGUUUGGUUUGUAUAGUUAUGAUUAUUUUUCUUGCUCACCAAUUGGCCUAAUUUAUUACUCAAUUAUUUUUCACCUUAUCAAGUUCAUACAAAAACAAUAAUAUUAGUGAAAGUGAUUGAUAUUCAUAUAUAUUAGACAUAAAUAACCAUGUUGAAAGGAAAUGGGACCAAAAACAAAAAUCAUUCUAGAUUCAUCUUUUUUACAUAUUUAAUUUCAUCUAAAAUAUAUGUUAGGUUUAGAUGUGCUUCAAAAUAAUAACUAUUUUCAUGAUAGAGUCGUUAUAUAUCCAUUAAAGAAUUAUAAAUUUAUCGUCUUUAGUAUUAAUCAUUUUAAUUUUAAUUUAACUAUUUUCUAUUAAAUUUACAUAAAUUCGUUAUAUUUUGUACUCAUAAACAUAUCAUAGAUUAUAUUUAAUUUUUUUUAACCAUUAGCUAAUUAAGGAUUAAUAUUAGUAAUUAAAUACAGAAAUGAUAACAUUGGAAAGUAAAAGAGAGAAAUAAAAAAUGUUACCGACAAAGGAGAGAGAACGAAAGAUUAUAUUGUAAAAAUGUAAAUUAUUAGAAAAUUGAUUAAUGAUAUGAUGAUAAGAUGAUAAGAUAAGAAAUAAAAGUGGAAGUCAAAGGGAAGAAAGAUGAUCAUAAAUGAUUGAUCAGAAUUAGUAUUGGAGAGAGCAAAUAAAAACUAUAUUCUAAAAAUUAAAAUUUCGGACCGUUAGAUGAUAGUUUAAUUAAUUAAAAUAAGAUGGGGAAAUCAAGUGCAUGCAACACUGCGUAUUGAUAGCUGAUCAAAUUAUUUAAAUUUUCACAAUAAUACAUUAAACCAAUCUUAUAAUAAUACUUCUCUUAAUAUAUAAUUAUUUCAACCACAAUAAUUAUGUUCAUGAAACUAGUAGUUCUCUUUCAAAAUUUCUUUCUUCAAUCCACGUAUCAAAUUUGUCCAUCCAAAUGUAGUUUAGUAUAAACUAUGGUUCAUUUUUUUCUAAAAAUUAUACGUAACUUGAAAUGUAUUUAUAAUCGAACCUUUUGAAGUUGAAGGAUCGAAUCUUUAGUUGUCGAAGGAAAAAUAUAUAGGUUAUUUUUGAUGAUCUAAACUCAAUUUGAUAAAAAGAAAAUUUUCGUAUAUAAAAGAAGAAAAGUCAAACUAUUUAUCUUCCAUCGAUCUCUAUUAAUGAUAGAAACUUAAUAAAUCAAUAUUUGUAAAUGUAGAAAAUUUUAUAAUAACUUAUCAAUACUUUGACUCAUUUUUUAUAUAUAAAAAGUCGAGAACUCAAUUUAAAUAUUUAGUUUUUUUCUCUCUCGAAAAAUCAAUCUCUCCACGAAUAUUAGACAUUUAGAUUGUGAUUUGAAUUUUUUUUUUUCUAUUAUAAACCACCAAAUAUUAUUUUUUUUCAAAAUCGAUAAUACUUUAUCUAGCAAGUACAAUUAAUAGAAAGGAUUAGGUAAGGCAACAAUUUAAUUCAAAUUUGAAAUAAUAUUAUACAAAAUUUACAAAUUAUAUACGAGAGGGUUUUUUUUUUUUUUUUUUUUAAAUCAUAAUACUAAAUCUACUAAUAAUAAUAUUGUAUGAGACCACAUGCAUAGAGGAUAUGGUGAUAUUUUUUUAUCCAAAGUUUUAGUUAAUUAUUAACACAAGUGGUCCUUAAUUAAUUUAAUUUUCAAGAUAAUUAAUUAAUAAUGAUUUUCCAAGAUCUGAGAAAGUCUUCUAUUAUUUUUUUUUGUUGACAAAUUAAUAAAUAUAAGAGUCGGUGGUAAGUGUAAUAAAAUAAAUAUUAAGCAAAUCUCAUACAAAUUUUGUAUUAAAAUCUAUUUCAAACAUUUCAAUUUUUUCUUUAAAUUCUUGUAGUAAAAUAUAAUAUUGGAUUAUAUCAUUAUUGCAUUUAAUAAUGGAUCACAUUGGUCAGUAUAUAUUCACAAAAAAGAAAAAAAAGUAAAAUACACAAUCUCAUUUGUAAAAUACACGGGCCCAGAAUUCGAAUUAGAACUCGGUACUUAAUGAUCGUGUGAUCAUUCAAUAUAAUUCUCCUACAUUUUCUUCCACACGACGAUGUAAUCUAUACUUUUCAUUUAAGCCACGGAAUAUAAGUGAUAUAUAAGUUUUAAUUUUGUUAAAAUUUUAGUAACCAUACUUUCACACCCUCGAUGUGCAAUGAAAUCGAUAAAUAAAAAAAGUAGAAAAAUGUGAAAUAAUAUAGAAUCGAACCUUUUAACUUUGAGAUUAAUAAUGCAAAUACUAUACAAGUUGAGUCACGCUCAUAUACGUAGUAAGUUAAGUUUAGGGUUUUGUAUGUACUUGUAGUUGUAGUGUUAGAUAACUAUUAGAAUAUAACUCAAUUUAUUCAUCUAUCUCUCGUCAUUACAUGUACGCUUAUUUUUUCUCAAAUAUAUAUAAUACAGUAUAAAUACCAUUUACGAAUAUGAUAGUUCUGUGUUAAUUUAAUUUAAAUUCCAUCUUCCUAUCAUUACUUUUUUUUUCCCUCUUUCUACUUAAUCAUAAGCAUUCUAAUAUUUUGUUUUAAUGAAAAAUAAAAGUAUAUUCAGUAUUUUUAAGCCUAUAUAAUUUUAUUUUAAUCAUUAUAAAACUUUUAAAAGAAAAUUUAUUUGAAAACUUUCACCUCAAAACUGUACUAAGAAAAUAAAAAUUAAAAGAACAAUUCCAACCAUGGCCUAAUUUAAAUAUUAGAAAUUCAAAGUUUGAAACUAUAAACACCAAAAUCAUAUUUUUAACCAUUAAAAAUUUACCACCAAACUCUUAUAAAUGCAAUAUGUUUUAAAAUUUAACCAUUGAAAUUUCACAAAUGACGUUUACUUAUUGAACAAGUUGAACUAAAUUAUAUAUUAUAUAAAAAAAUUAAGCUUUGUUUAUGGGUUUUGUCAAUGAGCAACGGUAAGAUAUUUGAAAUUUUGUAUGUGCCAUUUGUGACCAUUUCAAUAACUUCUAAUAUUAUACUUUUACAAAAACUCAUUUCUCCACAUUUGUAAAUUUGUAUGACACAUUAUACUUUUUUUUUAAAUACUUUUUUCAUACUAACUAGACUUGUUCGUCUGUUGUAUACACAUAUAUAAUUUUCUAAAAUUGUAGUAGUUAAUAUUUGUUUAGUAACAAUGUUUAUCAUUAUCAACAAUAAAUAAUUACACAAAUUAUAUUUAUCCAUAAUUUGGCUUGUGAUUUCAAGGGUUGUUGAUAAUUUUUCAUUAGAUAUAUCUUUCAAAAACCUCAUUUGAAAAUUAAUGUAUAGGCCACUACAAACAUAUAUGUUCAAACACAUACAUCUAGUUAGAAAUUAAUUUAUUAAUUGAACAAGCAAAUGAAGAAAAAAAGUACAUAUGUAAAGGUUCUUGUUCUUAUUAAACAGUUCAAUGGAUGUACUUCUUUUUAAGUAAUGUUCAAGACUAAAUCAAAGAAUUUGUUGGCUUUUUCAAACUAAUAUCUACAAUUUUUCCUCCCAAUAUAUAUGUCAAAUAAUUUAUCAAAUUAAUUUCAUACUAUUAGAAUUGUUGUUAUAGUCAAAAAGCUCGAGGCAAUACUAAAAGGUCACAAAAAUUAUUCUACUCAAAUUGUUUUUUAAAAAAAAUUUACUCAACUUUCAAUUAAAUCAAAGUCUACCAUCUUUUUAUUUUAAAGUCUUCAUUAUACAAUCUUAGAUAUCCUUUUCUUGAGGAAGAUUGAUGACAAAUGUAUACAUAUAUGUAUAUUUAAGAAAACAAAAUUGAAAGAUAUAAACGAGAAAUGAAGAAAGUUUCGAACUUCAAAGAAAAAAGGGAGUGAAAAGUUGGAAAAUUUUGCGUUUGAUUUGAUUGAUAUAAGAAAAUAAGUAUCGAAAGUAAAAGUAAAUUGUAAUUAAAUAAUAUAAACGAGUUUGAAUAAUUUUUAAAAGUUAUUAAAAUGUAUUUGAGAAUUAAGUUUUAAAUUAAAUAGAUACAACAACAAACAAAUUUAGAGAAAGUUAAUUACAAUAAGGACUUUAUUUAAAUAGGAGGUCGCAUCUGCAAAUGGAUGAAGGAAAAAGAAGAAGAGGAGAAAAAAAAUAUUUUUAAAAUCUAAUAAUUAAAAAAAUUAAGAGAAACAACUUUUUCUUAAAAAAAAUGUGUCCACUUUCUAUUAAAUUUUUGUAGGUAAUAUAUAAUUAUAUUUAUUCUUAUCUACUCGCUUAAAUUUUUAAAUUAAUCGAUAAUUUUAAACAAUUUAAAUGUAUUUUUUUACCUCUCAUAUACCAAAAAAUCGCUACGACACUAUUUUUUUAAUUAUAAAUAUUUUGACAAAUUUAUUAUUUAUUAUUAUUAUUAUGGAGCAAUUAAAAAUAAUUAAAAGGAAAAAUAAGAAACACGUGUUUUUACUUUCUCUAAUUUUCAUAAUUUGUGUAGCUUUUCGUGUAAUUUAUCUUACCUCAUCUAGAAGAUUAAAGUUAAAUAAUAUAGUGAUUAAUUUAUACCACAAUUUGGACUAGGCAAACAAAUUGACAUUUUCUUUUCUCUUAAAUUAGAAAAAAGAUACAAAAGUAAAACAUAUUAAUUAUUUGAUCAUUUGUAUAAUAUUAUAGGUAACGACAUUUAAAUCAAAUACAUAGGAAACGUGUAUAUGUGAAAUUUAACCAAGCCAACCAUUAAUUCUACAUAUGAAUGUGCAAAUAAUAAUACUAAUUAUUUGUCAUUUUUAUGGCAACCCCUUUCAUUAGUACCAAUUUAAUCCUUAGGAAUGUGUGUGUUUUUGUUUGAUUAGUGGCAUCGGCCCCAUCAUUAACAAAGGGAAAAAUCAUGUGCAUAUAUAUCUAUAUAUUCUUUGUUUUAUUUAACAAAGUUCCAAAGUGCACCAUAAUCAUAGUUUAAUGUUAUCCCACACUACGUUUAAAUUUGGUCACACAUUUCAAAUAAUCUCUCUUUCUUUAAUUUGAAAAGAACAUCAUUUCAUUUCAAUUAAGAUUAUAAUUUUAAGCUCUCUUAGCUUUCUCAUUAGUUUGUAAUAUUAACCAUAAAAAUAUAAUUAAUUGCCUAUUGUCCUAAAUUAAUAACUGUAACCAUAUUUAUAAGAACUAAUUAGUCUUUCUUAGUUGUAGUUAAGGUGGAGAAGACAACAAAAGUUUUAAUCCCAAUUUCAAAGUCAACAGGAAUGGUUUUCACUUGAUCAUAACAUUUCAAAGAUAAAUCGGUAUCAUAUUGAAUGAGAUGAAAACAUAGGUCAAGAAUUGUAGCUACUACAAAUGUCAACAACAAAAAAGUGUACCUUUCUUUUCAUAAUCAAUAAAAACUCUAAGUGUAAACAUAUUAAUUUACUUAGAGCGAUUCUAUAAUGGAUAAUCUUUUAGGAACCAUGUGAGUGAUGACAAAUCAUGUUAAAAUAAUCUAAGACAAACAAGGAUGAUAUAUAUUUGCUAGAUUGCACGAAAACGUUAAAGACAUUAGGUGUUCAAUACAAAAUUCAAAUUGAAUACAUGAAGAAUUACAUCAACAGUAAGUAUAGCUUUGGAAAUUUUUAAAGAAAAAUUUCAAAAUAUAUUACUACGUAUACUACUCGAGCAAUCUUCAAUCAUUUGAUCUUACCACAUUAUUAUAAUCCUUUGAUUUUCAAAUUAGUGUUGGCAGUCUAUUAAUAAAAUAGAACACAAUGAUUAAUGAGUCAUAAAACGAAACCCUAAUUCCCUGUGAUCACUAAAAGUUGGGAUAUAGAAUCCAAAGAAGAAGGUUCUGAGAGUUACAUCAUUGUUCCUCUCAUGGCCACACCACAUGUAAAUUGAUAUUCUUCUUUUCACUCACAACAAUUAGUAUAGAGACAACAUGUUAGGCAACCUAACUUUUUUUACAAUCAUGCACCAAAGUACACGUUUCCUACUUUUCCUUUUUUUUUCUUUCUUUAUCCAUAUUAAUUCUAUAUUUCUUUCCUUUUCUCAUUCUUUGACCAAAGAAUAACAUAUAUGUGUGUGUGUUUUUUCCUUUUAACUAAUUGAUCAUCUAAUAAAUUGAACAUAUUCAACAAUGGCUAGAAUAUGUUUUAGUUAAAAUUAGUAUUGUUUUAAUUAAGUACUUCAUUAUUUAGUAAUUGUGUUCAUAGAACUAAUAAGCUUAGUUCUCAAAUUUAAUUUGUGGGAUAUAUAAAUAAACAAAAGUUGUAAAUAAAUUAAAAUUCUCUCUAUUAGUAGUAUCUUUCUUUAGUAUUUCUAACAAAAUUAAAGGAUUAGAGAUAAAAUUAGAACUUUUAUAAAGUGUUAAACACAAGAUUGAAACCUAAAACCUACCACUGGUAUUGAUAUAAUAUUAAAUAUUCACAUUUUCAUAAUCAUCGACUUAAAUUUUUAGUUAAUUAGUGUGAUUUAAUAUAAUAAAGAAAUAUCAUUUGAAUAUUCUCUAAUUUAGCUACUACCAUGUUACAAAGUCAUUGGAGAUCAUGCCAACCAACUAAAAUAGUUAAAGCAUAUGGUUGUUAAAAGGCUCAAAUUCAUCCAUCUCAUGUUUUCAAAUAAAAUUCGAAGAAGACACUUACCAUAAGAUUUAACUUAAUCUUUUUAAGUUAAAGCAUGUUUAAAUUUUGUUAUGUUCACAAUUCUUAUAUGAUUUAAACCAAAAAAAAAAAAAAGCUAUGAUUUUAUCUUAUAAGCAUAGGUAGCAAAUAUUGAUUAACUUUUUAAAAUCUUUUUGUUCAUAUUUAGAUGUUGUCUCGAUUCAUUCACAUGUGUCAUGUUAUAUAUUCGACUAUUUUAAACUAAAUAAAGUAUAUCAUUUGUGGGUAUGACACCAAAUGUUUCCCCACCCCUAGGAGAGGCUAGCUAGCUCUAAUUUUCUAUAACAUAAAAAAUACAAUGCAAUUGGAAUCCCAUUCGUUAUUGGCCAUAUAUUUGACUCCAACAACUCUUUUUAAAAUUAAUAAAACAUUGAUUCAUAUCAAAGAGUAAGUUAUAUAUAAUCUCAUGCAUUUCUUUUACAUUAAAUAUGUAUAUCCAUAUGCUUUGGUAGGUUUUGAAAUUAGUAAUUAAAAGUAUUGCUUCACUUUCUUUUAGCUACUCAUGUAGAGGUCUAUUGUGUUUAGUUAGGAUAGUGAUGGAAAGAAGUUGGCUAAAUGACAAAGUGGAAAUCCUUUAAUUACUAUUCACUUUGUCCCCAUUAAUAACAUGCAAUCGUCAACUUGCUUCUUAUUCAACUUUAAUUCAUUUGAACAAAUAUCAACAUGGUGAAUCAUGAAUUCUUAAAUAGAUGUUCUAAUUUAAUCAUCAAUCACUAAAAGUACGUGUGCUUGUAUAUUUUUGUUCAAGAAUCGUAUAUAUAAAAAGAUAAUGCUUAAAAAAAUAUAGGUAAUUUAGUGAAAAAAAUCAAAUGUAAUAUAUGAAUAUGAAUCCUGAUGCAACAAUUGGAAGUGAUAAGGUGAGCAUUGGAGCUAUUGCUGGUGAUUUCAAUAGCAAGACCCUGUUUUUGCUAUGAAAAAGUUUCAACGUUUCAUUGGUUCUAUGGACCUUGCUAAAGCCUUGGCACCCCAUGAAGUCAGUACUAAGGCUUUCAAAGCAGACAUUAUCCUCUAAGGGUUUAUAUUGAUUUUCUUUGAUUUUGUGGGAUACGUUUUGACAAACUCUGUCCUUUAUAUUCUAAUGAAAUCAUCGUUAAUUAUUUUGUAUAUUUUUGACGUGCUUUACCUUUUUAUAUCACGAUGCUAUUAUGAAGGCUUCUUUCUUGCUAACAUAACUAGAGGACAUAUAUGAGUUGUCAAAGGAUGAUUUUCUAGUUACAUUUAGAGAUAACAUUUAUGCGGCUUAACGCGUUGUCUUAGAAAUUAUUUAGAGAAAAAGAACACAUUUUCACACAUUGAUGUAUUUCUUAAUUGAUCAAAGUCAAAAUCAAAGAUACAAUUCACGUGGCUACUUUAUUUUGUUAAAAUACAAAAGUGAGUUUAACUCAAUGGGUAGAUUGGAAUUUGGUAUGAUCUAUCUUAGAGGUAGAAGAUUCAAUCCACAUCCUCACAAUCUUUGUACUAAAAAAUACAACAAAUUUCAAUCUUGUUUUAGUGUUUAAUUAUCUCUCCCGCUAUAUCGAACAAGUCAAUAUUUAUUAAACAAAUAUAUCAUUUUAUCAUAAAAUCACAAUUUAAAAUUUAAGAACUCAAAAAAAAAGGCUGUCAUCCAAAUGAAAUUAGUAAGCUUAUACGUUUAACAUACAUUGAAUUCAAUACUAACUUUGUUUUGUUCUAAUAAAAGUCCACCACAUGUGGAAUUCAAUCAUAGUUUUAUAUUUCAAUAUUUUCAGCAAAACCCCACUAAUGGUGUUUGAAUUUUGUAUUUCAAUCAUAACUUAUAAAUUUUGAUAGAAAACCUUAUGGAUAAAUAUUUAAAAAAUGAAGAGAAGCCAAUCGUUUAUAUCAUUAUUGUAAUUUAAUUUAGUCAAAUAAGCAACCAAUUAGAAAGCAUCAAACAAAUUCCUUAUAAUCGGUGAUUAUAAUUAAUUGACUUUCUUAAUAAGCAAUCUAAUUAUAUGAUUUGAUGUCAAGAAACAAAUUCCUUCUAAUAUUUUGCCUUUUCUAUUGUCGACUUUAAUUCAUUGUAGUUUUUAAUUAUAUAUUUAAAAUAUUAGUUUUAAUCUUUUCUUUUAAACUUUGCUUGGUUUUGGUUCUUAUAUUUUAAAAUUUUCCAUUUUUAUUAUACUUUUAAAAACGAUUUAAUAAACAUUUUUAAAUUAGAGAUAAAAAUAAAAAAAUAGAAAAUAUAAAGGCACUAAAUAAGAAUAUUUUCAAAUAUCAAACACAAAAUUAACCAAAAUAUAUUAUAUAAAAUUGAAAUUAAAUAAGUUAAGUUUUUUAAUAAAAAUCAAAUGAUCAUAGAAUAAAGGCUAAGAAAUUUAUCAAACACUUCUAUUUCAAUGAGAUAGAGAUCAAUUUCUAAUUUAAAAUUGUAGAUAAUAUUUUUUAUAAACAAAUUGUUAGUUUUUCGAUUUUUGGAAUUGAAGAAAUUACUCGAAGAGCUUUUAAUUUAAAUUUGAACUUUUUUGUCUUUACAAAUUUUGUUUUUUUUUUUGUAAAAAAGAAGAGCACAAGGCGGCUUUGGGCAAUUGGAAAGUUACACGUGGCACGAACCACCAUAAACGUCAGCAAAAAGAUCCUUUUAUUAUUGGAUGACGAAGCCACGUGUUUCUUAUUUCUAUUUAUUUCUUUGGUAAAUAUACUUUUGGGUCUCUCUACUUCAUAUCUAAAUUCAAUAUUUUGAAUGUGUUUCCUUACGUCUUAAAGCUGUUUAGGAUCUAAUUGCAUCAUAUUACAUAACUUAGUUGGAUUAAUGGCUUAUUAUCACGUAAUCUGUGACCUUCUUGGAUGAUUAUUAGUCGGGUUAUUUGGCCUCAUAUUUUUAUUUAUUGUUUCAAAUGACUUGAAAGCCUUCACUUAAGGAAAUCUAAAUAAUCAAUUUUUCUUGAGACGAAUCUAUUUUUUUUAGUUGUUCGUGUUUUUUUUUUUUUGCAAAAAUAAAACUUAUUGUAUAUUUGAUAAUGAAGAAUGUAUUGAAGUGUUAUAUAUUUUUGCUAUUAAAGCUUGAAAUUUUAAUUUUAAGAUUUAUCAAAAUUAUAAAAUUUGAGAUUAUCAAGAUACGAGGUUUUAAAAAGUUAAAUAAUAUCCAAGUCAUUUAAUUUUCUUGUAAGAGUAUCUUUAAAUUAGGUCUAAACCUAUAAUUUAGCCCAUGUGCUUAUGUAGAAAACAAUCUCGAGUAAUUAAGCCAUAGGAAAUUAAACAAAAUGUGAAGUAAUUAAAAAUAGCAUCUAAUUGCUAAUAAUAAACAUUCAAAUUUAAAUCAUUGUCAUUACAAGCUUCUUCAUUUAUACAAUGUGGGGGCUCACUCUUCUUAUGAAUUCAAUGCUCUCAACUUCAUUUAUGGACAUUUUUCAAAAUAUAUAAUUAGUAUUUGAAAGGUCUUUUAAUUGGAAAAAAAAAUGGCAUGAUCUUGUGGGGACAACAAACCCAUAUAUUGAAACCCUAAAGUCAUAAAAAGGAGUCACCCUCCAUAAUUGGAAUCCUAAGAUUAAAUGACUAAACUAUGAAUAGAAACUUCACUGGAGGUUGCUUAGUGAUUGAUAUAAUUAUUAAUAAAAUAUAUUAUCCACACAUAUGUUAAUUAUGUGAGGAAGGUGUAUACUCAUUUUAUAAAAAUUAUUAACCUACAAAUAUCAUUCAUAAUUGACCAACGUCAACUCAUACAAUCAACUUCCAAGUCUCACCUAAGUAUAACACAUCAUCUUAGAAAAUAUGAAAAUUAUUAUAUACAUACGUGAUGAUCUAUUUAUUAAGCAUGCUACUUAAAGGAUAAUAAGUAAUUUUAUUGUUUAAACUACCGUUUCAAAAGUCGAUAUUUUCGUCUCUUUGAUUCAUAAUCAUUGAACUAAACUAGAAAAAAAAUAGAGUAAAAUUUUGAAUCUUUUCUUUGAUCUUUUCACAUAUUAUUGAGUUGGAUGUACCAAAUUUAAACAUCACUGAUUUAGAUUUCUAAGAUAUUAUUUCUGCAUAUAGAAAAGCAUCCUAGGCAAUUGUUUCUAAUUUUAGAUUUGACAAUGAAAUUAAUCUUGAUAUUUUACGAUAUUUAUCAUUAAAAAUAGCUAUUAUUUGUAUAUAUAUAAAACUUAAAUAUAAUAAAUACAUGAAGAAUAUUCCAAAUUCCAAAACCAGGUAUCAUUUAAUUAAACCAUUUCAUCAAAAUUUUAAAAUUUUCACCAGCACCAACCAUAUUUAUGAGGACAAAAAUAUCAAUUGUAAAUAUUAAUGUUCAAUAAAUAAAUAAUAAGAUUAGGUGUAAAAUUUUCAUUUAAUUAAAAAGUUAUGUGUAGAGAAUUCAUAAGUUUUAGUUAUAUAUUUGCAAUUUUCCAUAUUAAUGGGAAUGGAGAUUUUGAAGAAAAUUAUCUAAUACAGAAUUUCAUGUUUUUUUCUACUUUUAUAUCAUUUGUUGAUGGUAAUUUCCUAGUUUAAUUUUUAGAAACCACCAAACAACAAAGUUAAGAAAAUAGAAAAAUUCACGUCCAAAGUUUAGAUCAAAAUGAGUCUAGAAAAAGAGAGUUGGUCCAAGCUAACACAUGUUCGACCUCAACCAAGAACAAAGUCAAGUCUAGCAUAAAAUACCUAAAGAGAAAUGACUCGCAGAUGCCCCAACUCAAGGGAUCAUCUUCAACCAAAAUAUGACUAAGAGAAUGUGCACUCAGGCUCGACCUUAAUUGAGGUUAACUUUAUGGUAAAAUAUCAAGCAUAAGUCACAAUCCUCAACUAUGAAAUCCUAAUUAAAGAAAACUUAGGUCAAGUACUAUAUCUAAUAUAUUUGCUACAAUAGAUACACGCUUUUUUACUUACACUUCAAAGCCUACGUGUGCCAAACACCAUAAAUUAUGGUUGUGUAUCGAUCUUUUCCUUCUUACAAGUCACACUCUUUUUCAAACUAUAAAUUUAUCAUUCUUAUCAUAUAAAGGUCUUAUGCACUUUUCUUUAUUCGAGUUUUGAUAUCAACUUGUUUUAUCAUUGUAAUUAAACUUUUUCAACAAAAAUAUAAAUGAAUUUGAGAAUUAUUGUUGUAAUUAAGAAGUUUAUAUAAAGAGGAAAAAGGAAAAAGAAACAUCCAACUAUCCUUUGUCUAUCACCUUCCAUCUUUAAGAAGUGAGAAACAUCGAUCUGAGUAUGUAUAUAAUCAGAUUUUGAACAACAAAAAGCCAUCAGCAAUUAUAUUUCUUUUCUUUUUUCUUUGUUUUUAAUCAGCCAACGAACCAAUUGCCUAACUAAUUAAUGAGAGUUGAAUGCUAAAAUAGAUUGAUUGUUUUCUAAGCUAAUUAGAGAGUUGGAAAUAUAUAGUUAAUCAAAGAAAAUGAUCUCAUGCCUAACUUCAUUAGCUUUAAUUAACAUAUAAAACCCUAUUAUAUUGUAGCUUUUUAUUACUUUUUUUUCUCUCAAACUUUUCAUGAAAAAAAAGUGUCAUUAUCUUUUUGGGGGAUUUGGUCAAUUAGAGUUCAUUACUAGUUGACAUUAUUUAAAUUUAAUUGGGGAUCUAAUCCCCCAGCAGCAGUAGAUCAGAAUAAUUAAGAUGAUUUUUUUUAUAAAAAAAAGCCAAAUUAAGAUGGGUAUAAUUAUUUUAAUUUAUAGAUUGUUCAUUUUGUUUCCUUUUCUAUUUUCUAUAAAGUGUAAUUUCCCAUUUGUUUAAGAAUUUGGUUGAUUUGAAUGAAUCGGAAAAAAAUAUAUAUAAUUUUGUAGAAAAUUGUUUUUUUUUUUUAAUUUGUGAAUUCAAUACUUCUAUAUUUAAUUAUAUAAUCACUCUAAGUUUUACCAUAGAUUUUGUAGUAUCAAUAUCAACUUCAAAAUCAACCAUUCGAUUCUACACGAUAUUUAUAAUUGCUUGGUUUAAUAUUUUUCUGUAAAAUGAAUUUAAAUAAUUAAAUCUAGCAUUAUAUUUUACCUAUCCUUUUCUUGUGAAUUUGGCUGUUUUUGGAAAAGUUAUUACAAGUUGUAGAGAGAAGAAAAACAAGUUAAUUACGUUAUACAUAUUGAAUGAAAAGUCUAAGAAAUUGAUUACAUUUUUGCCAAUUUUAGUGAACCAUUAAUGAGUCAAGAGGGAGAUUUGAAAAGUUAGAUUCGGGAAUAAAUCAAUGCUCAGCUUUGAAGAAACAAAUUUUGGAAUCACAAAGGACAAUAUUUUGAUUCAAGUCAAAACAGCUGGUUUAAUUUGAUUGUAGGUUCCUUAUAAUUUUGGCUCAUCUCCUUUUCAUCAAUUAUUUGAUCAUGAUAUAAUAUCAUACCAUUAUCUAAGUAACUAGAUGUUGAAAAUAAUAUAUAGUGCAUACUUUGAUUGUAGUUCAAAUUUCCGUUUUGAAAUGAUGGUAUAAAUUACGAAAUUUUAAGAGUUAGAUAUAUACGCGUAUUUAGCGUGUGAGCCAUAAUAUAUACUAUGAUGCAACGGAUAAAGAUAUUAGCUAGGUCAAAUCUAUAGCUAAUCGAGAGAAGUUUUAUCUUGAAGGUUGUUAACCGAAAAAAAUUUCAAAAUAAUUCUUUUUCUUGAAAAAAAAUAUUAGUGAUGUUCUAUUGAGUUUGAUGUUAGUUAUAUGUUAUUAUUUCACAAUUAGUAAACUACCUUUCCACAAAUGAUCAUGUGAGUUUGUGAAGCAUAACUAAAAUGAAAUUAAUGGCUUUUGUGUUAAUUUAGUAAUGGAUCAUGUAACUCUUUGAGUAGAUGAGAAGGAAAAGCCUUAAAGUCUAAACAUCACUUCAACAUGGAGUUGUUUAAUAUGAAGAAUUAGAUUUAUUAACGAUAAUAAUUAGAUUCUUGUUAUCAGUUUAUCGUUAGAUAUCUAUAAUAUAAAUUAUAUCAAUUACACUCAUCUACUACAAAACUAUGAUCACUAUGUUCUAUAUAUUAUAUUGUGGCCAAUUUUACUCUUUAAUCAUUACACAUUAAUUUUCUCUUGAAUUAGGACACAUUAUUAUUAUUAAAGUGAAAAGCUUUGCAUCUUUGCACGUUCAUUAGGUACCUAAGUUAAAGUAGUUUUGAGUAUUAGAUAUACCAAACUUUUGAUUUCUUUCUUUCCUUUAAUCAAUAAUAAUGCAUCUCAUUAUAUUAAGUCAAAGUUUGCAAUAAUAAUAAUAUCACUUAAUAAUAUAUUUGUAUCAACUCCUUGACCGUUAAGCUAUCAACAAUGUAUUAAAAUUGAUUAGAUGCAUCCAAAAAGCAUCUUAGAUAGUUUUGAUCAGUGUCUUAAUGAUUCGAAGUUACUUUAUUUGCCACUCCUAGAUAAUGAUCUCAAGCUUUUCUUUAGUAGUUAGGUGAGGUACGUUCUGUUAAUGCAGGGGAUGAAAUACAUUUAUUCAUAUUGUUCAAAGGGUAUGAAAGUUUUAUGGGGGGAGGUUUCAUCUUUUUCAUAUAAAUCCAAUAUGUUUGUUUAGGUUUAGUACCAUUUUGGUACAUGACUUCUUUAAUAGUAUUCAUUUCAAACAAGAGACAAACUUAGGAUCGAGAUAUCCAAAAGAGCAAGCCUUACUCUGAUAUGUUGGUUGAAGAAUGUACACAAGGCAAUGUUGUAACAAAACAAUUGACAAAUAUACGAAUUGAAGAUUAAUAACUAGUUUGGUGCAACAUUGUCUACCCUAAAGGGUAGUGUACGUGUUGGUUAGACUCUUUCUACAAUAACUAUCGUACAACUUAUCUCUUAUUUUCUGUUGAGGCUCCGAUCUUCCCUAAGUUUGAGAUCCUCACUUCCACUAAAAAAAACUUCUCCUUAAACUAUAUGUUUGAGAGAAUUGAGAUUCUCUCAAACAUAUGUAUUGAAACUCCAACCUAAGUGUUGCCAAUUUGAUAAUAAAUUUGGCUAAUAUUGAAUAAUAUUUUAUUAAUUUGUUUUGAAAUUCAUGGUUUUCUUAAUUAUUACUCUUUUAUCUAUCGAGACUUUCUCAAUAAUCAAUUUUUAGUUUUAAAACUUUUAGCCUGCUCAACUUAAAAUAAACGUCAAUAAAUCACAUUCGAAACAUUUUGGAAUAUCAGAAAGGAUGAUAAGUCAUACCUUUCAGAGUGGUUGAUCAUAUAACUCAUUAGCUAUGUGGAUCAUCUAAAGAAGUCAUUUAGAUUUGGACGGAUGGAUACGUUGAUACUUUGGCUUCUGCCUUGCAGGAGCUAGUCAUUUAUAACAUAUAAACUUAAAAAUGGACGUUCAAGACACUAAUAAAAUUGGUUAUAAUUACAGUGAGUAGCUGGUGUUAUAGUUUGUGAAAGCAUACGUUUUGGUUUAGGAGUUUCUUAGGGUAUAAUAAUGAUCGGUUUCUUCAACUUUUAACUUUUGACCUAAAAACGCACUCCUAAAUCAACUUGAAUGAAGAUUAGCUUAAAAGAAAACGAUAAGUAGAAUAUAUAUUAGGACAAGUAACACAUGUGUAUAUUGAACUGAAAUUUGAUUUUUAACUUUUUAUGUAAUUAAGAUCAGUACAUAGUGAUGGCCCUGACAGAGGAAUUAUUCACCAACUUAAUAAUUAUUUUAAAAUUAACAAAAACUUCCCAUGCAUUUCAUUCCCAAAAACUCCAUGUGUCUAUGCUUUCCACAAACAAAAAAGACAUUUUAACUUAUUAGUUUCAAAUUUUCUAACACACACAUACAAAGAAAAAGCAAAAGAAGCUUCUUUUAUUUAACUUCUUUCCCCCACAUGGCAUAGUGUUAUUAAAUCAAAAUUAUGUAAUGUCAAGUAGCAUAUGGUAAAAGUAUAAUAAUAAUGGAUAUAAAAUAGUUAGAACUGCAGAUAGAAAGAUUCUUUUUUCCUUACACAAAAGAACAGAUUUCAUAAUUAUAAAAUAUAGUGAUAAUAAUAAUAAUUUAUGGAGACAAGAUGUUGGGCUGCUAAAUCUCUUGAUAUAAUAUAUCUGUUAUUAUUUACAGAAUCAUAUGGGGAUGACAACUACAUCAAAACAUAUAUAUAACACACUCUUUGACUCUUUUUUUUUUUUUUGCAAAACCUUUUUGUUUUUGUUUUUGUUAUCUAAUAUUUAUUAUUAUUGUAUAUUUUUGGAAUUGAUUUUAGUUAUACAUAACGACAUGUCGAUCCGAGAGCCUCGCCUUUAUAUGGGGUCGUUUUAUGUUGGUGUUAUGUGUUGUGUUCUUCAACUUUGUUUACUCUUUUUCACUAUUUUUUAUUGGGUUUUGUGAUGUCUAAUUUGAUUGCUUUUAUUGAUUAGUUUAAGCAAUCAUCAUUUUCUUUACAUUAUUAUUAUUGCUUUAUUAACUCUAUUUUCAAAUUCUUUCUAGUUUCAUUUAGAGAUUGGGGUUAUCUAAGUUUGAGUGUUCAUAUAAUUUUUUAUUUAUUUAUUUAGGUUAAAUUUAUGUGUUUUCAUCUCAUGUUUAUUGGAAUGUUUGAAAAGUUGAAUUUUAAAGUGAUCCAUCUAGAGUUAAAUAUCUAUGGAGUUAAUUUUUUAGAACCUUAAAAUGUAUAAUUUUCUAGUAGCUAAUUUUUCUACUUUACUUUUUGUUUAAUCCUUCCAUCAUGUGUUUAUAUUUUCGUAAGUUUUUAAAAUUCAACUUAAAGUAUUGAUAUAUAAUUUAUAAUUUAUUACAUGUUGUCAUUAAUUUGAGGUAGAAAAGUAUUAUUGUUGUUUUAUACAUCAACAAAUUACAAUGAACUUUAAAUUAGAGUAGAAAAUGUAUAUGAUUGUAAUAUGUAUAAAAAAACCAUCAAGAUCAUGUUUAGGGUUUUCUAUGGCAUAUUACGACCAAGUGUAGAUUUAGGUUUUUACAUUUAUUAUUCAUGUGUAUAUAUAAAAUGGAUAUGUGAGGUUAAAUUUCUUCAAAGUUUUCACUUUGUCGAUUUGAUAUUGAAAAAUUGCUAAUAUUUACGUUACUUAUAUAGUUGAUAAAAUUCAAAUACGAUAAACCCUUGUUCUUGUUAAUUUUUUUUUUAGAGAAACUUGAAAAUUAUAAAUGACUGGAUAUUUGCUUUUCUCUGGAAAUUUUCUAGAUUAAUCUAAGAAGCAAUUAGUUAAAUGUUUUUAAAAAAAAUUGAAUUGGUUAGGUACACAUUAUUAUUAUGUCUUUUCAAACAAAAAGUAUACUAAAGAGAGAGAAAUUUAUAAUAAUAAUAAUAACAAUAAUAAAAAAUUUGAUAGUUAUAGUGGUUCUUAUUUAUUUAUUUAUUUAUUUUGGUGGUUUUCUUAAAAAUAUCAGUUUGAAUAAAAACAAAUAUUUAUCUUCCCAUAUUAAUAUAUUAUAAAUUGAAUAACGAAAUUUGGACCAAUCACAAAUUGCAUAUAUUAAAUGAUAAAAAAAGUACAAUUAAUUGAAUUCGGGACUGAUUAAGAAUUGACAUGUGUAGUCCCAAAUUGAAAUUGAAGACGUAAAUUUGGUUAAUUUCACAUGUUUUUAUGAUGAUCAUUUGAUCAAAUUAAUUAUUUUGGUCAACUAAAUAUUAUUUAUUUAGACUAAAGUCCAACUAAAUAAUAAUAAUAAUAAUAAACUUAAUUUAGCCCAAAUACUAAAUAUGACUCAAAUCUACGUUGUUGAGCCCAUUGGUCUAAUUUAUAAACCAACCAGACCAAAACUUAAUUAUAUAGCAAGCCUACUAGAUAACUCUAUAAAUAUAAGAGUUCUUAAUUUGUGAGAGAGAAAUUUUUACUGUAGAAAGAAGGUGUAGAGUGAAUUCUCUCAAUUCCUUAUGAUCAUCUUUGAAGAUUGAAAACUCCCUAACUCCUAAAGCCGACCACCCUCGAAGAUUGAAAUUCCCUUAAAGAUAAAAGCUUAACUUUCUUUCAAGACUUUAACUUCAAGAACAUCAUACAUCAAACGUAUGCAUUAUUCGACCGAAAGAGAAUCAAAUGAUCAAACAUUGGAGGUCGAACUACAUACCAUCAAAUCAACACAAACACAAGUCCAACUCUAAGAAUUAAAUUUCUCUAAAAAUCUUGUGUGAACAAUAACAACAGGUGUGAUUCAUAUCAAAAUCUAUACUUGGAAAGGGUUAAAUUGUUUUAGAGAAAGAAAAUGGAGAAAGGGACAAAAUAGAGGCGGCUAUGAAAAAGUGUGGCCUCAAAUCUCAAUCAAUUAUAGGAACAUACGUACGUGGUCUCUCUCUCAUUCAUGGCCACACACCAUUCUCAACAUCAACUUUCCACAUCCAUACACUUUACUCUAUAUAUAAUAUGUACUCUUUAAUUAACUAUAAGAUUGAAUGUGAAUAAUAAAAGAAGAAUAGUUUAUCUUUAUCUCUACUUUCAUUCGAUGUCUUUUCUUUUGAAUUCAAUUUUAUGUACUUUCUCCCACACCUACAUCCAAAUCCCAUGCAUUUAGACUCCUCCCUCCCUCUCCUAUUCAAACCCUUCCAUAUGAUAUUCAUUUUCUAUUCAUCUUUUCUCAUUUUUCAUGAGUUUCAACCAAAUAUUCACAAACUAAUUUAACAAAAAUAUCAUAUUCUAUUACUUAUACUCAAUAUUGUUGUUUAACCAAAUAUUUUAUACUUUUUAAGUUUAAUAGUUUUAUUAUACCGUAUACUUUUUCUAUAUUUGAAAAUGGAGUUUUUAAAAAAUAAUAGUAAAUAAAUAAAAAUAAACUAUUAACACUAUAGCAACAAAAAAAAAUUACUAAAAAUCAAAAUCUACUAUAUCUUUGAUUUUUGUUGUAAAGAGCGUAAGUAAUUUGUCCGUUUCUAACAUUUUUGACAAUUUUACGUUUGAAAAUAGAACUACUAGCAAUUUUAGUUUAGAAAAAUUAAUAGGUAACAAAAUUCACACCAAACAAUCAAAACGUUAAAAUUCUCUAACAAUAAUUUUUUACUCGUGAAAAUUGUGAUCACACAUAAUAUAUAUCUCAAUCAAUUAGAUGCGUCUUUUUAAGCCUAUACUACAAACAACUUGAAUUUGAAAAUUGUUAGUAAAAUAGCUAAGAAAGAACACUUUUUUUCUUAUACAAGUAUAUAUAUAUAGAUCAUGUGAUCAUCUACGUUAAUUUAUGAUUACAUAUAGUUACAAUGACACAUUAAACAAGGACAAAAGAAAUUUCACAAAUCUUGAUGUGAAAAAGCACAUUUUUUUUUGCCACAUAAUUUGAAACCAUCAUUCAUCUCAACCCUCUUAAAAGAAAAUUUACCAUAAAGAAGAUAUAAACUCAACUCUUGUGCCCUAAUUCCCAAACAUAGAGAAAAAGAAAUAAAAAGGUUUAAACCCCCAUUGGGAAUUAGGAUUAUUUUAAUAUCUUUUUAUCUAAAAGAAAAAGGAAAAUCCUUUACUUUUUCAUUAAAAGAAAUAAUGAAACUAUUUUGAACUUUACUUUAUGAUCAAAAUAAUAUAUGUAUGGGACAUUGGAACUUAGCAGCCUCUUUAUUAUAAACUAAUAAAAGUAGUUUAGAGAGAUUAUAUAAUAAUAAUCUAUUUUCAUAAACAAAGAUUACACUUUAGUGAAAUUUAGUUUUUCUUUAAAAAAAAAAUUAAAUUGAUUUACUUGUUGACACAAAUAAGUUUUUGAAAAAUAAUAUUAAAGGAUGGUGUAAUUUAGGGUCUUAUAAUUAAUUUUUAUGAAUGCAUUACUUUAUUUAGAAAUUUUGAGAGAAAGAAAAAGAAAUGGCUGCUAUUGAAGACCACUUGAUUAGGAAAGAUGAAGCCCACAUGAUUAACAUAUCAUAAAAAAAAGAAUUAUAAUUUUAGUCUUUUAUGUGAUUUAAUUUCAUUUUAGUUUCCUUUUUUGCACUUUUAUUAUUUUUUUUUUUUGUUCAUUUAGUAAGUAAUAAUAAUAAUUAUAUAUAUAUAUAAGUAUAAUUAUGACUAUGACUCUUUUAUUUAUGAUAAAUUAUUAGUAGUUGCAUAAAUAAAUAAAUAAAGGUCUUGAAAAGCUAAUGUUUAUUAUAAUUUGGUUGUGCUAAAAAAAGAUAAAGAAUAAUAAAUAAAAUUCUUGCAAAUCUACUCUUUUUUUUUUUUCUUUUUUAAUUGUGUAUACAUGUGAAGAUGUAUUUUUGGGGUUUUAAUUUAUUUGUUUAGCACAUGCUUCAAAAUAUAUUUCUUUAUAGAUUAUUCUAAUUAAAUACAUUUUUGGCCUAAUAAAUUGGCAAGAAAAUAGGUCUUAAAAUAUUUCUUAAAAGAAAGUAGAAAACAAAAAUAAGAUAUUUUAUUUCUAUAUUUUUUUCUUUUUUGUACAAGAUAUUUUAUUGUCAUGAUUAAUUUGUUUACUAAUUUUAGAUUAUAUAAUUGCCAUAAAUUAUUCCUGUCAAUUAAUUUUUUAAAAAAUAUAAACUUCAUCUAAACGUAAUAUAUUUUAAAUUGCUAUAUAUUGAAGAAGUAAGAUCAAAAUGUAGGAAUCAUAGUAUUAAUUUUAGUUGAAUAAUAAGAAGUAAAUCACUCAACAAGAAAAUAAAAAUGGACACAAAAGUAGACAACUUGCAUGGGAAAGUUAAAUUCCCACAUGAUUAACAACAAAAAGAAAUAUUAACAAAUGAUUAUAAUAAGUUUGAUUAUUGUGUUUUAAUCUACUUUUCAUAAUUUAAAAACUUUACUUAUUAUCCCCUUUGUUCUUUGAUUUACACUAACUUAUGAUGUACUGUUCGUAAGAAAGAAUAGAAUAUGUUAUGAUGACAAAUUAUUAAGAAGAAUUUGUAUUUGAAAAUGAGAGUCUCAAAAAUCUUAUAACCAAUAAUUUACAUUUCUUUUAUGGUAACUUAUAAUUUCAAGAAAUCGUUUCUGAAGGAGAAGUUCUUAUUAUUUAUAUAAACACCAAAUCAUAUGAACCCUAUUUUUAAUUAACCUUGGGGGAUCAAUUAGGAUACUAUUAACUCAUUUCAAUUUUUAAAUCUUCUUUGGAUCCUUCUUGUCUUAUUUUUGUCCCUACUUUUAUGAGGGGUUUCCUAAAUUGAUUCUCAUCCAAAGUAUUAGCAAACAAAAUAUCAAUCAAAAUUAAUUAAUUAACUGUGUAUUUUUAAUUAAUUUCUAUUCAAAGGAGUUUUAGUAAACACGAUAUUAAAAAUUUUAUUCUCCAAAUAAUUUUCCUUUCCUUGUGAAGUUUAUUUUUCACGUUUGAGUUAAAUGUUUUUCUACAUUAAUAUAAUUUUUCAUUUACGUCUAUCAUUUUGAUUGGAAUAAGAAAAAGCACCCUUUGUACCAAAAGGAAAGAGUAUAACUUCUAAUGCUCAUAUGGAUAUCUGUAUUAUUCUUCAAGUUUGUGUGUGUGUGUGUGUGUAUAACUUUCACAUUUUAUGAGUUUUGUAUUGAAGAAUAUUAAAAAUGUGACAAACCCCACUUCUUAAAUAUUAUGAGUUGCAUAUAUUGAGCAAAUUUCAAAUUCACUGCAUGAUUAUGAAAGGUCAGAAAUUUGGUUCCUCCAUUCUUAACUAACCUAAACCAAACCUAACCCACUUUAACUUUACCAUUUCUCCAUUUGAGUGUUUGAGAAGUCAAGCCUAAAGAUAGAGAAGAGAGAGAGAGAGAGAAAUAAGAAGUUACAACCACACAAGGCCAAAAAUGCCCUUUGGUUUACCAAACUAAACAAUUAUUAUGAAAAUGAAUAAGAAGUUUACCAUAAAGUAAUAUUCUCCCAUUGUAUAUAUAUGUGUGGAGAUUUCAUUUAGUGACAUACAUACAACUCCACACUUGAGGUAUAUAAUUCAACUGGACAAGGUAAUUAUGGUUAAUAUCAAAACGUUGAAGGUAUGAAUCUUUACUUUACAUAUGAUGUUGCUACAACAAUUUUGGGUCUACACUGUCGAUUCUUAACUGGUGUUAAUUAUAUAUGUAUCACAACGAAUUACAAAUUGUCAUUUUUGUGGUUGUGCGUGUGCGGUCGCUGACAAAUUCGUGUUAAUGUGUACAUCUACGGUAUGAUGUACUCAUCUCUUCUUUGGCUUCGUUCACAUGCAGGUGCAAUGCAAGGUGAUGAUGCAAAUAGACGUCGUCAUGAUCGAGACUUUUGGCAUUCACGACAGGCGUUUUUAAAAAGCUAUAACUUAUCCAAUGGAUAUAGAAGAGAUGAUGGAUUGAAAGGCAAGAUGAAGAGGACGAUGAAAGAGCUCAAUAGAUCAACUAGUCGAAUGGUUGGAGGCAUUUGUGAAGACAUGGCUAAAAGGAAGUUUGGAAUUAGGGUUUAUAGGCUCACGAUAAGUCUCCCAUCAAUGGUUUUUAUGACAGUGAGGUGUUUUUUGCCAUCAUUUAGGAACAAAGAGAAUACACUACAAACAUAUAGUUACUAAAUUCUCAAUGUAUGACUAAAAUCUCACACACUAAAAAGAUAAAAGUUCAUGUGCUUUAUUCUCUCUUGGCUUGAUCUAAAAAAGAAUUGAUCUAUAUUGUAAUUUAAACUUCGAUAGAAAUGUAUUGUCGUUUUGUUUUUAUAGGCAAAUCACAAAUGUUUGUUGGUCAGUAUAAAGAAUUUCAAAAUAUAUAUCUAAAGUUAACGUGAACAUAACUCAACUGACAUGAACUUAUACUAUGAACCUUAAACAAAAAUUUGACCUCACAUCCCAUAUUUCUAGAAAGACCAUGUAAGCUCAAAAUUCUUUUGGAAACGUAUAGUGUAAUUUAAACUUCUAAUUUAGGAGAGAUGAAAUUUUAAUAGUUGAAUGAUAAGGUAAAGCUUCAUUCUUACAAUUUAAUGUAUAGAGAGCUUUCUUAAAAAAUGUCAUUGCUAACUAUGUUGUAAACUUCAAAGUUACAAAUUUGAUUAUCCACUCUACCUACAAGUUAAUUCAAUACCUUUGUUUAAAAAAUAAACUGAAAGGAAAACACAAAGUUAAUUUGAUAAAACAUUUCACAUAGAAUUAUGCUCUACUAGUUUGCAAUUAAUAUAUACAAUCAAUUAUUAGGGAAAUCAAAUCAUCAUAUUACAUCCAAUAAUUUUGAUGUAAACUAUUGGUUUUCAAUUCCAAAGAUACUUUUGUACUUUAGAUGUGAUUAAUAAUGUGAUGAUAGAGCAGUCUAAAGUAUUGUCAAUCAUGUUGUUUUGGAAAGAUGUUUCUAGUUAAAUUUAGCAGUUAAGAACAUUCAAAUAGAACUUGGAAUCGAUCAUCCCAUCUCAUUCAAAUAAUCACAAAUUAUAAAAUUUGAAAAUUAGAGCUGUAAUUUAACACAAAUAAAUAUAAAACAUAUUAGUUUCAAACCACCCAGCAAGAAGCCAUCACACUUGUCUAUCAUAAACAAUUGAAGUAAAUGAAUACAAGAAAACCCCUAAUUCUUCAAGGAUGUUAAAAAGAAAUGUAUUGAAACUCUAAUCAACAGUUGAAGAAACCAAUAAAAGAAUUUACAAUGGUAAAACUAGAAGCACAGAAGCAGUUAUUUGCAAUCUCUUCUCAUAAGGUUUGGUUACAUCUAAAAGUGGCUAAGAACAUGCUCCUAAUUGUAAAAAAAAAAGGUACAGAAACAUUCCAUUUUAUAUAAGCCAAUUGACACUAACGUUACCAAGCCAAGUGAAAAGUGGGAACUGAGCCAAAGCAAUAAAGAGCAAUAGAUAGUGAUGCCUGCUUGAAUCAUAGGUCCUCACCUCUGCAAAUAGCACUCUCUUCAUCGUUUUCACCAAGAAUAUUCCCAUGCACAAGGCCAUCCAUGGCAUAAGAAAAUAGUACGAGUAUUUCAACGAUAUUCUUCCGAUGGCAGCCAGACACAGUCCGGUGAACGCGUAUCCAGCAUAUGCAACAAUAUCGAGUAAUGGUGCCUCCCCACUUCCCAGUGAUAGUAGUGUUACUUUAAGCAGCAUGACUUGCAUAAACCAACCGAGCAAUCCUUUGAUGAACAACCAACUCAAAGCUUCUGGAGUGAACCUACAAUCAUUAUAGGAAAAUGAUAGUAAUUAAUGAUCAUUAUAGGAAAUGAAUGAUUUUGUGUGAGUAGGUAGUUGUAGUUGAGAUAUGCUAUAGAUGGGUUUCUGACAAAUAUGAGCAGAUCAAAGUUUGAGAGUGAAACAAAUUCGUCGAGCAUCCCAGAGGGGGAGAGAAAUCAUAAUCUACUAUACUAAACAUGCAAGAAUAGAAAUGAUGAUUUCGUUAAAAAGAAACAUUUGUAUAUUAUAUAUAGCAUACAUCGAGAAAUCGUGAGAAUUAUUCCUGAAACUUGAACAUUCAUUUGGGUUGGUUACUCCUUUUUAUAUGCAUUGAUGAUACAUCUCGUAUGAGAAUAAACAUUAACAGCAGACGUGCACAUCACAAAUAUAAUCAGAAACAAUCAGUAUCAAAUUCAUAAAUAAUUGCUGAUGACACAGUGGAAAUUACAGGAUAAGUUACCCAAGGCAAUCUGCCUCACCAUCCAACCUAUUCGAAGGGAGUUGUUAACGACAUAGGGUGUGGUUUUUUAAAGACAAAGCAAGAGUUGAUGACUGCAGUUACUACUGUCUCUGGAUGCUUUGUAUUGAAAAGGUCUUAUUAAGUCAAUUUGAAGGUGGAGGGAUUUCAAUCAGGGACCUCUUGUCCUCGGGAGCAUACAGAUGCAAGUUGAAUUGAGCUCAUGUUGGCCAUUUGUGACUAAUUUCCUUGAGAAAGAAUUGAACUUUUUUUAGGUAGAAAUCCGUCCAUAUAGCAUCACGUCCAUAAGGAAGGUGUUCGGUGCAGCCCCCUCAGCCCCAAAUUGUUGGCCAAUGAUUUAGUGGAGAAAAGACCAUUUUUAUCAAGAUUCCAAAUUCAUUUCUCUCCGGGAGGCCAACCAAACUCCAUCAAGAACACGAGAGCCAUCCAUUCUUCAAAUUCAUCUUCUUUGAAGUUCCUUCUGUAGGUGAUGGUCCAUGUCCAUCCAUGUUGUUCAUCCCAAAAAUUGUUCACAGUGGACUGCUUGUAUGCAGCCAAAGUGCAUAGUCGAGGAAAAAGGUUCGAUAUAGGGGCUUCAUUGAUCCAAUGGUUAUGCCAAAAAGAGGCACGGUUGCCAUUCCCAACUUUGAUAGAAACCCUCUCUUCGAUAAGGUUUAAAUGAGACAGGAUGGUUCUCCAUGGACCUUCAAUAUGAUCUGGGAAAGAAGUGUUGGGCCAAGAAGAGUCAGUAUGCUCACCAUAUUUUAGCAUCAAUAAUAUUUGUUUCCAUAAAGCAACUCCUUUGUGGUAGUAUCCUGAAAUCCAUUUAGGAAGAAGAGCCCUGUUUUUGUCUCCAAUGCCUUGUAUGCCCAGUCAACCAUGUGAGAGAGGCUUGAUAAUUUUGUCUCAUCUAACAAGAUUCAUCCCAUUUUGGUUGUUACCCCUUUUUCACAAAAAGGAUCUGUAUGGUUUUUCUAUGAUAGUACUAACCUUGGUGAGGAUCUUGUAUAGGAACAAUAUGUAGGAAAUUUUGUGGCUAGUAGAAGGGUAAGAUGACUGCCUUUGGAAAUGUGUAAGUGAUUCCAUGACUGUAGUCUUCGUUCCACUUUUUCAAAUAUAGUUUAAGGCUUAUCAAAUAGGGAAGCUUAGAAAAAGCAAAGUUCAAAUGUUUCUUCCUUGAUCUCUUUAUUUUUUAGGUUAUAGUUUUUAGUGCAUCUAGAAUGAUCGCUUAUGGAAUCCUAAUCCUUCAAGCUCUUUUGGUUUCUCUUUAUAGGGAAGCUUAGAAAAAGCAAAGUUCAAAUGUUUCUUCCUUGAUCUCUUUAUUUUUGAGGUUAUAGUUUUUAGUGCAUCUAGAAUGAUCGCUUAUGGAAUCCUAAUCCUUCAAGCUCUUUUGGUUUCUCUUUCUCCAUCUUAUCUUGUCUAGUUUCUCUCAUCCAAUAAGACUUUGGUUCCAAGAAGGUUUUAAAAAAAUAGGUAAUAAAUUAAGCUUCCAUUGGGAGAAAUGAAAGCAUAAACAAGGGCGAGAAGAGAUAAAUGAAGUCUAAACCCGCAAAAAGAAUAAAUCCAACUAAAUAAAAAUUAGCUUAAUUAAAUAAAGUCAUUCAAGUGAUUCCCACAAAGAGACAUUAAAUCUUGCAGCCUCUCAAUCAUCCUCACUUAAUCUCUCAGCUCUGUUCUUUUUUUACAUAUAAGAAACGGAGAUGCUUAUUCAUCAAAAGAACCAAAAAGAACAACCUAAGGGCAGAGGGUUGAGAAAACCCCCUCCCGCAAAACUAAGAAAUGAGAGCCCUCCAAUGAUUAGUUAAUAGAGGAUUUUAAUUACAAAAUAAUCUUGUGUAAUUUCUCCAUCUCUCUAAAUAUCAUACUAUUCUUCUCAAGACAAAUGUCUCAGAGAAUAGCAAAAGAAACUAGCGUGCAACAACAUUUUACCCUUCUUCCAAAAUGAAGAAUUCGCACACCACCUCCACCUCCACCGUAAAUCUACGCUCUCUACUUUGGCCCCAACAUAAACCAAACAAGCUCAUGAGUCUCAAGAGAUAUUGAUUAUACUCGCAAGCCCAAGGCAUAUAAUCAAGGUUCUCCCCCCUACUGACUACAAAUAAUUUACUAUUGUGAGUACAUGGAUUGAAGAGUGCCUUCGAUGACAAUUCAUGGGUUUUUUUUCAAUAGGAACUACUCCCAUUCCAAAAAGAAAAUAAGGGCAUGCUAAAAAACCAAGUCCCCCCCCAAACGAAAAAAAGGAUCCAACUAAGUUCAAUACUGCCUAAUAAUUUAAAAUGCCAAACCCCAAAGAAAAACAAACCUCAUCAAGCACCAAAGAUCACACGGGUCCCUUCCCACACCCCUAAAAGACUUCAAUAUUAUUAUCAUCCCAAAUAUACCAUAACAGAGUGCACACCCCAGCAAGCCACAAGAACCAUCCCUUCUCAAGAAAAAGAGAAUUGAGGAGGAACUCCCAAUCAAGUCUUUAGCAUCCCUCUCACAAGCAUGCACCAAACCAAACUCCUCAAAAAAGUGGCUCCACAAAAACAUCGCAAACCCACAGCUCCAAAGCAACCAAUCAAAGGCUACUUGUGGAGAAGGAGUAGACAAAAAAUAAUUGCAAGAGAAACCCCUAGAAGGAUUGAGGUCCAAAUCCUAACACCGCUUCUCCCUAGGAAUGCAUGUUGAUUUUGAACCCCAUGAAGUAACCACAACCACUAACCUAUAAAAACCUCAUUUCAUAAUCUGCUCCCUAUCCCAAAAAAAAAAAAAAACUAACAGUUGGGUUUUUUUUGCGGGCAGGGGGGGAGGGGCAUGAAAUUAUAGUCUCAUCUUUAAAAUAAAAGGUUAUAAUAAUGGUACACCAAAAACGUAUUUGCACUCACUUUCCUUGAAGACCAAGUGAGAAGCCUGCAAGAACAACAUAGGUGCCAAAGGCCAUGAAUGGAAUGUACAAGUCUGGUGCAUUGAUGUCAUAAAUUGGUGGCUUAUACGAUAGUCUGCCCCCAAUUGGAUCAGUUAUUCGUGUCCAGUGGCCCUGAAAAAAAAGCAAGACGAUAAGGGUAUUCUUUCAUAGAGUAAGGAGUGAGUAAGGACAACAAAAAUCAUCAAGGGAGAAAUUAAAAGACUGGUACAUACCCUGUGUAGAAAUGGAAAUAGGACAACCUUCAAUUUAUUUCUAACAUACUGGUCGUUCACUUGGAAGUAGUAUUGGGGAUCUGAAAAGUACCUACUUAUCUGUCCAUCGCAAUAAUAAUAAUUAAAAAAUCAUAAUUAAUUAAUUUAAAUAAAAAAAUUAGAAAGAAGAAGAAGAAGCUAAAUUCCUUCAGUCAUCUGAGAACCAAAAAGUUUAGGCACAAGCUUAAGAAUUUCAAAGCCCCCAAUUGUUAAAAGGUCUUCAUCCUUCUUGCAAGGUUUUAACAAUGAAAGAGAGUCAUUUACAUCAUCUUGGAAGGAGAUAAAGAUAACAGUAAUGUAUGGGAAGCAUAAUGAUAUUUCAGUCUUCUUACUUGAAGUCUCUCUCUUUUGUGCCAUUAUGGUGUGGUUUUUGCUGUUUGGUUUGGUGUUUUGGCCUAUUGGAGUCCUCUUUUCAGUUGUUUUUUUAGGCUCUUGUAUUUUUGGUGUUUUGUUGUUUCCUAGGUAGUUUACUCUCUCCAUUUGGGAGGUCGUACACCUGAAUUCUUUUUUUUUUUUCCUUUUCAUCUAUCAAUGAAAAGUUCGCUCCUUGUUCAAAAAAAAUAUAUACAAAAAUUUUUAUCGUUAAUCUUCCUCAAUGUUUUCAUUGAUUAGGUAAAAAGAUAAUAAUCUUUCCCAUCCUCUCCCCAUUUGUAUUGCAGAAAAACCACCCCAAUUGAGAAAUAAGGAAAAACGCUACAUUUAUAUUUGUUAAAAAAAUGUUUGUUAUGCCCUGGUAUUCUUUCAAAUUUUCACAAUGAAAGUUAUAUUCCUAUAAAAAUAAAAAUAAAAGUAAAAGUAAAAUAGAAAUCUUGGUUGGUGAUAAAUUUACAUAGGAAAUAGUACUCACAUUGCUUUGAACAUACUCUGAGCUUGACCCAAAUAUUUUCUCUCCAUAUGCACCCAAUCCACCUCGAAUUAGUCCAGAUCCAGCACCAUAAAAUGCAUUUCCAAAUGGAUUUGGCUGAGAGCUUGCUGGAGGCUUCGGAGCUGCGGGCUGGGCUUCAACAUUAUUAUACAUUCCUGCAUAUGAAUCGAAUAAAAGAAUUCCUCAUAAAAAAGGAGCACGAUACUUGAAUCACAUAAGAAGUUUUCUUUUUACUUCAUUUCAAAUCAACGUGAUUUAUGUAUUGAGAAAAUAAAGGAUGAACCCACAUUGAAAAAUAUAUAUUUUCACGAACAGGCUAUAUUGGUGUUAAUAGAACUCCAAAAUGCAAGCAUCAUUGCAACUAAGCCUCAACUUGAUUACUUGUUCCCUAUCAUGACGUUAAGAACAUGACUCUCAAUGGGGAUUCGCUUAGAAGUUAGAACAUUUGCAGGGAAAAAUCAUCAUUUCCUUCAACCAUUUCAAAUCCCAAGAAGUCCCCAUAACUAAUUUCAGCUCUUAUAAAUGCUAAAAUUGUAAAGAGAAAAAAUAAGAAAAAGAAAAGGUCCACCAACAUUAACCAUUUCCAGAACCGAAUCAGAUCAUAAAUCACGCCACAGAAUUCAAUUUCCACACAAAAACUUUGAAGUCACGAGGAACGAAUCAUUGAUCCUAGAGUAAUAAGAAGCUGUCCCAACACUAGGAUAAGAUCUCAAUUCUCAAGCUCGAUAGGGGAAUAGAAACCAAAGGCAAAUGAAUAGCUCAUAUCACAAGACGCAAGUAACAAUUUCUUCGUAAUUUCGCGAAAUUAAACACGCCGUGCUUUCCAGAUUCAAAUAAAAAAAACAAUAUGAUGGAGUACUAAAGAAAAACAAAAGAGGAACCUGUGAAGAAAGACGAGCGAGUCGAAGAUCAAGUGGGUGAAGGUUAAAAAAAAGGAAGAAGGGGCGGGGGGCGGGGAGCGAGGGCUUCGCAGUGGAGGCGGUGGAAGAGAGGUCGAAAGGGUUCCGGCGAAGGCCGCGCUUAGGGGAGAAGAAAGCGAGCAAAGCAGAUUUUUCCCUUUUUUUUCUUUUCUUUUUUGGAGUCUUUGAAUCUGAAGGUGAACUUUGGGUCUACACUCAGACUUGGGCUUCGUUUCCACGUGUCACGUCCAUACCUUUUUCUAAUAUUCCCCAAAUACCCUCCUCCUCCUAUCACUAUUUCAAUUUUAACUUCACCACAUUCACGGUUCGAUUCGGUUUGAUUUGGUUUUUAUGAACACCAGGGAUGUAUAAGUUGUAAAGUCAGAUGUUUUCGUUUUCUCGGUUUGGAUUUGUUUUCAUUUCGGAUCAAUUAGAUUGUAAAAAAUCUAUAUUUCAUUGGAAAGAGUAAGGUGAAAUUGAAGAAUGGAAAUAGAGAGGAUGAAGAAUAAAACCCUAAGUUUUGGAUUGAAAGCACGUUUAUAUGUUCGGUAAAUUUGGUUUUAUUUGGUUUUUAAAAAGAUCAAACCAUAAAGUGUUUUCGAUUAAAAUGAAACCUACAAAACUUAACAGAAUGAAAUAUAAUUGAGUUUUUCUUUUGCUUUUCAAGUGAUAACUCAAGUUAGUAGCAUAUGAGAUUUAAAUUAUGUUUAAAAUUUUAUAUUGAUUGAGAUUUAAACAAUUUUUUUUAAUUUUAAACUUAAAUUAUUUAUAUAUUAGGGAUAUUUUGGUCCUUCAGUAAGUUUGAUUUAUAAUUAAAAUAUUACAUUUUAUCAUUCUCUACAAAAUAAUAUUUUUCUAUAUUUUCAAUUAUAUAGGUCAUGUUUGAUAACUAUAUCGUUUUUAUAUUUUUAAUUAAGUCUAUAGAGUAUGAACAUAUUUUAUAUAUUUUAAAUCUUCUUAUUUUUUAUGUCUUUCUUCUUACUAUGUUUUCAAAAAUUAAGUCAAAAAUUGAAAACUAAAAAAGUUUGUUUUAGAAAAAUUGUUUUUGUUUUUAAAAUAUACUCAAAAUGCAAAGUUUCUAGUCAAGAUUGAUAUAUGGUAGGAAAAAUAAAAGAAAAUAAGCUUAAUUUUCAAAAACCAAAAACUAAAUAAGGUCUCAAUUGUUUCCAUUUAUUUUGGUAACCCUAUGUAAAAUUUAGAUGUAAAUAUUCUACCAAAGAAAUGCAGUUAAUCUUUACUUGAGAUUAAUUCUAAAUUUGUAAUCUGUUGGAGAAACUAAUUUUUAAAAGUGGUUAUGAUGUCAAAGUCAGAAAUCUUAUAAUGGAGAAUGAGUAGUAAGUUUGAGCUAUUGAUAAAGUUCAACAUCAUGUUUCCUCGAACAAUGCUUUACAUAGAGAAUGCACAUGAAAUGCAUCGUUUUCCUCUUAAAACUGGAAUGAACUAUAUUUUUCCUUAUUCGACAUAAAUCAAGAGUAGAGUUCAUUGGAUUAAUGGUUAGUUGGCCUUACACUUAUUUGAGCCUAAGCUGAGUCACUCUUUUCUAACUAUUGGCAUUCUUUUGUCACAUCAAAUUCCAGAUACAAUAUGAUAUUUCAUCAUAGUUAUUUAAUUAGUGUUGUCAUAUUUGUUUACUUUAUAUUCAUUUCAAGAUACUUGAGUUAUAUUACAAAGUUUACAAUAUAAACCAAAAUACUUUUACAUCUCAUUUUUGUUUAAGAUUGAUAGUAAUUUUUAAUUAUUUCACGUCUUUCUACACCAUACUUUUAUAUUUUCAUAAACUCGUUUUAUGUAUAAUAAUAAUCAUAAUAGAGUCCAUAAAAAACUAAACCGAAAUUUUGUGGUUCAAAUUCUCACUCUAAUUUGUACUCGAAAAUAAUAAUAAUAACAACAAAACUACAAUAUUAUUUUAAAAAAUAGAAAUGGGAGAGUUGGUUAGGUGUUUAUAGAAAGAUAAGAAUGGACCGAACCGCGGCCCAAACGAAACUAAACCGGUUGGAAAAUCCAAACAGUAACUCCACGCAAGAGGUCCACCGAAGCGUAUUACGUGUCGUAAUCUCAUAGGUCUAGUUCUAAAGGUUGACUUUGUGGUUCGAAACUAAACCAAUAAUCAGACGACACGUCGUUCCAAGCCGAACCCCCAUCUUUACAUCCUGAACCCGACCACCGCCACCACCGUCUCUGUCUCCCUCUCCUCUCUCCGUUUCGAAUCCCUUCUCUCUCCCUUCCCUCUCUCUGCCACUUCGAUCAAAUUCCCUCCUGAUUUUUUUUUUUCAGUAAGUCUCUGUUUUUCCCAUCUUUUAGUGAUGAUGAGUUAAUUAAUUUGGAAUUCCGGUUUUUCAACUCCACGGGGUUUGUGUAUUUGCAAUUGACAUUUUCGUCGUCGUUUUGAUUUUGGGUCUUUUUGGUUUGAUGGUUUUUGGGAUUUGGGAGAGUUUUUUUUAUAAAAAAAGUGGGUAAUUGUUGAAUUGUUGUGUUCUCUCUUUGUUUGGGAGAUUGCGGGGGAAAGAAAUUUAGGGAUGUUGUUUAAAUGGAAGGAACAUGUGUCUGUAGUUUGUUUCUUGAAAUUAAUUGUUGUCUCUCUGCUGCAAAACGUGCAUGAGAAUUGAAUGAAACGAAUGUUUGUUUUAUGGACGUUCGAGAAUUUAAUUUAAUUGUUUGAAUCGUUUCUGGGUUUUGUGACUUGGGUCCUGUUGCUUUCCCUUUUCAAGUUACUUUUGUUUAUGAAAAUAGCAUUGGACUUCUGUAGGAUUUAUUGUUUGUUGCCAUUUAUUGGAGGAAUGAACUCAUUAAUCAAACAAGCAGAGAUAUUUUUUUGGCUCAACCAUUUAGACAGGGCAUGUACUCAUCUAAUUACCUUAUUAGCUUCUGUUGUCUGGCUUCUCACCCUCGAGUGAACAGCAUUUGCUUGUAUACAUGUUUUUUUUUUUUGUUACUUUUUUGUUUCCUGCAAGAUCAAUCUUCGUCUGUUCUUUUAUUUUCAUUUUGGUUAUGGCAUUUUCUUAAAAAUGGUUUGAUUGUUGAUUGCAGUGGAGUUUGGGGUUGAUGGUGAUAGUGAGGUGGUGGGCAAUUCGACUCUGGUGGAGGAUAGCAAACCUCUUGAUGAAAAUGAAACAGGAGUAAGUUCUAUUGAAAGGAUUUUUGAUCAGGACCAGGAUGAGAAAAUAAUUCAGGAUUCAACUGGAAGAAAUGCAAUUUUGGAUUCAGUUCCUGGAUUGCCCAUAGUUCAAGCAGACGAGCCUUAUGUUGGUCAGGAAUUUGAAAAUGAGGCGGCAGCGCAUGCAUUUUAUAAUUCUUAUGCUACGCGUGUGGGAUUUGUUAUUCGUGUUAGCAAGCUCUCACGAUCAAGACGUGAUGGGACGGCUAUUGGUCGUGCACUUGUUUGCAACAAAGAAGGGUACAGAAUGCCGGAUAAGCGGGAAAAGAUUGUGAGGCAGAGGGCAGAAACGAGGGUUGGUUGCAGGGCAAUGAUUUUGGUGAGGAAAGUAAAUUCUGGGAAAUGGGUUGUCACUAAAUUUGUGAAAGAGCAUACGCAUCCUCUCUCACCUGGGAAAGCUCGAAGAGAUUGCAUAUAUGACCAAUAUCCUGUAAGUUCUUUCUUAUACCAAUCUUUGCAUAUUCAAUUGGAUGCCUUCUUUUCCUUAUAAUGACGUGCAUUAGUGGUAAAUUGAAUUCUUUUGGAAUGAUAUCAUCUGGCUGUUUAUUUUUAAGCUUUAUUCAGUAACUUUUAAGUGAAAAAGGAAGUAGAGUCGUCAAUGCAACAAUUUAAAUCCAGUUUUUUGUUUGUUGUAGUGUCUUUAUUUGAGGCAGGUAGUAGACAUCCUCUAUCCUCCAUCUUCAACUCCCCAUUCUCCAUAGGGAUGUGGACUCAGAUAAAGAAAAACUUAGUGUGUUGCAUUUUAUAAGAUUUGAAGUAUUUGAUUAAAUAGGUUUUGGAGAGGUAGAACUCUUAGUUCCAGAAAUUGGUCUACCAUAAUGAAUGAAAAUUACACAAGUUCUUUAAGAAGGUUUUAUAGAGUGCCUAUUGUAUGGAUGAUAGAUCAAUGGCACGGUUUUUUCCUUCCUUUUCUUUUUUUUUUAAAAAAAUUGUGUUGUGCUUUUUAUCCAUGAUAUCCAAUCAAACAUGUAGAAGUUUAAAAAUGUAGAAUUUAGAAAGAACAAAAGUGUAUUACUUGGACUGUUAUUGGAAUUUCCAAAUCUGAGAUUAUUGGGCAAAAGCAUAUAUCUUUUAUGGGGUAGCUGACAGCUAGAGUCUAGCAUCCAGAAGAAAUGGGGGACGCAGUUGAGUGGACUCAUUGUUACCUAUUCUGGUUUACUCAAGGACCCUUGGCAAGAUUUCACUGUCCAAAUUUCAGAGAAUUAUUUUCUGGUUUGGUGUUUAGGUAUCUUCUGCAAGCCUGCGAGUAGUUAGAGUUAGGAAUUAUGAUUUGACUAUGUUAGGUUAUUAAUGGUAAACAGAAACUCUCAUGAACAGAUGAUAGAAAAGAGACGGAAACUCUCAAAGCUGAUUAGUUCUACAAUAAUCUCCCCGAUCAACAGGAAUUGAAGAGACAUCAUUAUGGCUAUAAGAGAUGAUCUAUCAUUUUGAUACCAAGAAAAAGCUUCCUAAAGAAUAGUUUUUAAGACCCAUCAAAGUUUCUAUAAAUCCCCCAGGAAUGAUUUUUUUUAUAUACAGGAAACGAACAUUUCAUUCAUGAGAUGAAAGAAAAAUAAAAGAAAAAAAACAUUCUCCAAUUGGUCAUAAAAUUAGUUAAACGAAGUUACAAUACGAGGAGUUUGAUUUACACCAAUUAAGAGAAAGGAAAGUAGUAGGAGUGGGAUUUGUAUAUAAAAAUGUUCCUUAUUUGUAAAAACCUGAGGAUUCUGUAAAUCCCCUGGAAUGAUGUUAUGCAUUUUCCCAACUGUAUUUCCUAAACGAAGCCUUCAAGGAAUGAACCAUUGGUGAUUUGGAGGUUAAUCUCCUCAAAGAUUAUCCAGUUUUUGUGUGGACAGUGGAGGGAAUUUUAGUCUAGAACAUUUAAACUAUUUCCCUCCUUGGUCAUUGCUUCUUGAGCCUCCCAUUUGUGCAUUACUGGAAAAGCAUGUGCGUUUGUUAAUCAUAUGUUUGUAUAUAUUACUCUGAGGAAUUGGGAGAUAAGGGGAAAUCCUUAAGUGGUUGUCGAUGUCUCGUCUAGAAGGUUUACUAAGCUAGUGGCCAUGGUUCAUUCCUUAAGGAGAGACCUAGAAUCUCCAUUAUUGAAUUUGAUCUUUGUCACAGUGUUGGGAUUGAAAAUUUAGAGAUUGGAUAGCUUUUGACGAUUCUGACAGGGAUAGGGUGCAGGUGGGGUUUGGCGUCAUGUGUAUUUUAGUAUGUUCAUCACCAAAAAGAAAAGGGAAAAAAAAAUCUGCUUGGCAUUUAGGUUGAAGUUGGCUUCUCAGGUGCUUGAUUUGAAAAAUGUAAAAGCAAUUAGAAUAUUGUUUUUCCUUGUUUAUUAUACAUGGAAUGACUGAUGAUAACUAUUACUUCUCUGAUUGAAUGAUAUUUUUUAGUCAAAGUGUACUGAUGAAGUGGUAACAAAUGUCUAAUGUGGUUUCUAUGUAAACUUUUAUGGUAUUGUAAUAAAUUAUUUGAUAAACUUAGCAUUAUGGGUUAGAUUGCUCAUUUAUCACUUAUGUACUAAAAGUAUGGUUCAUAUCGUCUCUUUCCUCUUGGAACUGAGUUUUACACAUUUGUUUCAAUAAUUCAAUCUCAACAAAUGGUUUUUAAUAAAGAAAAUGGUUGACAGCCAUAACUAAUUCUUUCACCUUUGCUUUUAUAACAAUGCCUUAAACAACGAUCCCUUUGUUACUAUAGCCUUGGUUUUAUGAUUUUAUCCUUCAUGAUUGGAAGACACUGCUUCACUAGUUUUUCUUUGGGAGGAUACCCUCAAUCCCCGCUGCCCCUAGACUGUUUUUGUCCUCCUCUUUAUGAUUUGUUCCAUACUUCUAUUGUUUCAUAUUGAAAAAAUAAAAAUAAAAAUUUACUGUUUUAUUUGUUGAAUGACUUGCCAUAAAGAUCACACUGGUCUCUGGAUCUUAUCUUUUCUGACUACUUCAGUAGCUUGUUUUAUAUGUGCCUGUCUCUUUGACCGUUGUGUACCUUUUUUGGGGGGGGAUUUCUGUUGGUGCGUUUAACAUGGCUAGAAACUGAGCUUGUGAGUAGUGAUACUCUAGAGGAGAAUGGAGCUUGCUUAAUGUAACCAACUUCUUGCUCGGAAUCGACUUCCCAGCUGAGGUCCUUGGCUUUGGUUUCUUCUUUUUAGCUUAAUCUUUUGGCUCACAGUGAACAUCACACUAUAGGAAGUGAAGAGAGAUUUGAAGUUGGAAUACCCUAACUACUGAGCUGCUCGUGAUGGCGCUUUUGAUUUUUGUUAUAAGUCAUGCGCUUAUAAAGAUAAAUGUUGUAAUGCCUUGAGUUUGUUAUCUCGUGCUUCAAACAACCAAGAGGUGCCUUUUGUCUCUAAUAAAACUGUUCUCCUUUUGUCUUCUAGACAUAGCUAACACUUUCCAAGCAAACCGCAUAAAUCUCUAUGCCAGUCUUUUUUGCUUUAUAUUUUCUAUUUAUCUUUGGUAGUCCAUUCUUGACAAUUUGUUAUUUUCUAACCAUUUUCGCAUAGGUAAGCAAAGCUUUUGAAUCAGAUUUGGAUUUUCGUAGUCUCUUAUAUUGUAAUUGUAAAUGGCGUAUACAACAGUGCAUGCAUUGUAUUACUCUUUUAACUCGGCUUUUACCAUUUUUGUGCUGCAGAAUGAACACGAUAAGAUACGUGAAUUGUCUCAGCAGCUUGCAAUUGAGAAAAAGCGAUCUGCAACUUAUAAAAGGCAUCUAGAAGUCAUUUUUGAAUACAUCGAGGAGCAUAACGAUAGCUUGUCAAGAAAGAUCCAACAUAUAGUAGACAACGUGAAGGAGUUGGAAAGUGUAGAACAGCAGAAUCAUAGAUAGUAUUGGGCUAUACUUCUACAUACUCCCAGUUUGAGAUUCCAAAACGAAGAUGAUGGUAUAGUUGCUGGAUGAAUGAAGAAAAUUUUAGUUCAGAAUUAUUAUGAUAUGUUCCAGCAUUUAGAUGUCAAUUCAGUUUCACAAAAAUGGAGUAUACUUCCCAUGAUAUUUCAUUGCUUGUAAAUCGCAAUGUAUGUCAUGUUUUGUACAGCAUUCAAACGAUUUGUAUCUUAUCUUUCAUUAGUCAGUUUUUUUUUACCUUAUUAAUUUAUUUUCAAGUUAUUGAUGAACUCGUCUUUACAGACAUCAUAGAUAUUUGACCUUCGCAUCCUUUCGAUUUAUCUUCAAAAGGAAAUAAGACACAAGAAAUGAAAAAAAAAACGAUGGAUUUUCAGUUGUCCAUUGAAAAUAAUUAGACAGAUAAUAUUACGAAAUGAAAGAGAUGUGAAUUCUUGUUUUGGAUUGUAUUACACGUAUAUGAAACGUACUUACAUAGCUUAACAGAUAAAAACAAGAUAUCAAUCAUCUUGAAAAUUAAUUCAUUGAUUUUUCUAUUACAAUAAUAGUUAACUAAAAAAGAAAGUUUAUUCCAAAACAAUAUAAUAGAUCACGUCCAAAGACUAGAUAAACAUAAACUUUAAAAAUGAAUGUGAAAAGUUAUCAAGUUUGUUUAGAAUGACUAGAGGAAUAAGUGUAUUUUUUCCUCAAAAAAUGGUAUUUUAGGUAAUUAUUAAAACAUUUCAAUUUCUUUCUUUUUAAAUGAUUUAUUUUCAAAACUAAUUGCUUCUGGUUGUGAGCUUGCUUAAAAAAAGGAUCAUUUCAUGCUUACGGUCCAAGAAGCAUCUGAUGCUGUUUGUUUUACUGUACUUUAAAAGUUUCAAUAUUAACCCUAAUGUUAUAAAAAUACUCUUCAAGUUUCAUCAAUCAUUUUUCCAAUAAGUUCACCAAUUUCUUUAACAAAAAAUUACGCAGAUACCAAAGAUUUCAAUCUACUUCUGUCAAAACGAAGAAUGACAUGUGGUUGAUGAACUGUUGAUGGAGGAAGAAAAUGAAGAUGGCGAAGAAAGAACGUGAAUCACUCAUGGGUCUUGGGGCAAGUUUUUGGGGUUAGUCAAAUCAAGCAUUUCUUUCGUGUCAGGUUGGGACGUGCAUAUGGUUAAUAAUUACUAAAUAUGAAAAGAAACUAAGAACACAGCUAAGAAAAAAAAAAGAACUUUUCUCAAUCGGAUAAUAUAUUAAUAUUUGUUCAAAACAAGCUCAUGGCACUGUUUCUUGGCAACAUGAUGGUUUAUACUUUGCACAAGUGUCAUAAUCUAACUUAAGAGUAGAGUCUUACAGUUGGCAAUCAAAACAUUUCUCAUUCUACAUGUUGGAAGGCAUAGAAGAAGCUUAUGAAGUGAAGGAUUUUGACUCAAUUCAACUGCAUGCUUUACUUUCCCAUAUGUGAUAGUAUCCUGCUUAUCAAAGCUUCCUUCUUUCCAGACACUGGAAGAUCAUGUGCUGUCAAAUAAUACUUCAACUCCACAACUGACAAUUCCUUCAACUGUAGAACACAAACCCAACACAUUUUUUGCUUUCAUAUUGUCAAUACUACGAGUUCAUAACUAGAUCAGAUUCAUCCUAACUUGUCCUCGGUGGAGUGGGCUAUUAUAUUUAUAGCUUACUCAAUGUUUGGACCUCUCAUUAUAGUAGUUUAAGUUCUCAAUUAUUAUAUCGAAUACUUAGCUAUAGUAAAACUAUUUGAAAAUCCUCGUUAUCUAUGAUGUUUAAUAUUUUGUUAUCAUCUUCUCUCCUCGUUUGCAAUCCAAAUUAAAAUAGUCUAUACUCCUACCACAACCUAUUAUAACUUAUAUUGGGUCGAGACUAUCAUAUCCUAUAGAUUAUAGUAACUACCAACUAUAAUAACCAACUCAACACCUCAAACAGCCUAGACAAAAACACGACAGAUAUGAGGAAGAAGAGAAGAAGUUGUUUCACCUUUCCAUUAUCUGCAAGGUCAGCCCAGUCAUAUUCUUUACACUUUUGAGAAGCAGUCUCUGAUAUAGCUUUUCUCUUUUUUGAAACUUCACUCACUUUUCCUUUUCCAGCUUCCUCCUCCUCGUAAUUCUCCCCAUAAACCGAUAGUUUGAAUUCUUCUAAUGUUUUUACGACCCCAGGUCUACAAUAAACCAUGAAGAAACAGAAUAUUUUAAGCAGGUAAGAUUAGCAAAUAGCAAUGGCAAUAUACUAAACAAUUCCGUAGUAGUUAAAGAAAAGGGGUAGACAAACCGCUAUACUAUAGUCAUACCUAGCCAUUCCUUCUUCAUCAGGGACUGUUUCGUCAUUAACCUCAGGCAUUUCAUCUUCUUCCAAGGCUAAAGCCUGCAGCACUGCAUAAUGUCUCUGCAAGGCUGAAAAGUUGUCUACCAUUAUACAUUGAGGGUGUCUCGCAACAUAAAAUGAAAAAAGAGAAAAAAAUCAACUUCGUUAGGCCUGGACUAAACUGGUGCUUCAAGCCACGAGAAUCCAAAAAUUUGAAGGGGAAAAAAUGCAUUCAUUUUGGACGAUAGGAAAAAGGUUCCUUAUUUCAGUGUUAUAAUAUGGACGUUCAAGCUCCACUAUAUCUUUUUUUUAGUAAGUGUUACUCGUGUAAAACUCUUCUGUUUGAGUGCUAAAAGAGAAAUGAAGCUAGCUUUUCACCAGCUUGAGGGCCGUGAUGUAGCUUCCUUUGGAACCACACCUAUGUCAAAACCAAUGUUCUCCAUAAUACCAACAAGAAGGAACUAUUUAUUAAUUUAAAUGGAAUUGCUAGCAAGAACUUCACGUGAUAUGCAGAUGCAAUCAUGCAACAUAAUAAAAAUACCAUUUAUUAUUGUGACAUAAUGAUAGAGACAAAACAUCAGAGAAGACUACAUAUCGUUCCACAUGCUAGAGUUAUGUAACAUAUAUAAAAAUUCACCAGCCCUGAACUAAUGAGGGGUAAAAACUAAAGUACACAACAAGAUAUCGAAAAUAAAAUAAAAAAUCUUAUUUCCAUCAAUAUACUUUGUGUAACUUUUACCAUCAAGCUAACUGGCGACCUAAAUGAAUAAAAAAAAAAAAACAUAUGCCAUCAUAAAAGGCAGGGACUCAGGAUAUGCCUUUUGUCAGCCAAAAGAUAUAAGUUCUUUUAAAAUAUUAAUUUAUUUUGGAAGCAGAUGUUUCAUUGAGGACAAAUGAAACAACCCCCAUCAAAAAGAGAGACUACCACAACUAUAGACCAACUGGUUACCGUGAUAAAGAGGCCCCAAUCUAAAAUACCAAGAUCUUGAGGAUAGUUACAGAACUCUUGAGACACAAACGCCCAAAAAGAGGCAUUUAAAUAAGGGAGCCAUGCAUUUUAAAAGAGUUAUGUUCCAGCCUGACAACAUAAAAUUCUGCCUUCCCUGUUCGGUAGGGAAGAGAAAGAUCACAAUUUAUAAUUCGCUAAGUGCUUGAGAAACUUGGUAUUUUCCAUCUAUUGUUCAUAUUGACACUUUUUUUCUGUUCAUUUCCAUUUCAAUUUCUGGUUCCUAUCAAAUUCCAAGGUUCAUCUGUAAUCAUACCAGGAUUGGCAAACUGGCAAACUGAAAAAUCUUUCAAGUCAAUGCGUUUCAUUAAAGCAGCAGCCUUUUUUACUUGAUCAUCAGUCGCUCUAGGUGCAAUGUCAGGAUUCGGAUGAAGCUGCAGCACAGUAUAUAAUUAGCAGCAACUUCAAGAAAACCACUCUAACCAACUAAACAUUUUUCUUGCCUCCUCUACAUGUCGGAUGUCAUCAGCAUAAGGCAGAUAUAACAUGUUCAUUCCUGGCGGCUCAACUUGUCCCGCAGCAGUAAUGAUCUCGUCCUGUGAUGUUUCAAGAAGCCAAGUGCAUUAAAUUAAGAAGUUAGAACAAGAGACAAUUGGUAAUAUCGAAUAUUCAAUAUUUUUGCAUUAAGUUUGGUGCAACUUCUGCAGUCGGCUGGAUAGUUGAUUCCUCUAAAUAGUUUAACGUUUUCUACUCUCUUUAUAACUUUUGAAGUUUUGUUGUUUGUUUGGGCUGGCUUUUUUUUAUUAUUUAUUUAUUUUGAUUCCCUUGGGCUUGUUUCCUUUUGAAAACUGAAAGUUCAAAAUGCAACAAUAAAAUAUUCCGUUCUGCAGCUUUAAAAAACUUCUCAGCUUUAGUGUCCUGAUUGACGUUCAUUAAAUAACACAAAUCAAUCAGUAGCCGAGAUGAACAAGCAGCAAGAAGAGUAACAUAAAAUGAAUGAGAUGCAUUAGAUUUCAGACGGCCAUUUACAGGCAACGCUACUACAAAAUGAGUAACAUAAACUGUUACAAUGUUGUGCAGACAAAUCCUAAAAAUUGUGAAUUCAACAAUCUGUCCAGUGCAUUUAUUUACGAUAAUGCCUAAUCAGUUUUGUGAUUGACAUAACAUCCCAAGGAAAAUCGUACAUAUCAUAUCAAAACUAUUAUUUCCGGAAAUCCAAUGUUCUUAUCGAUGAAGUUUUUAAAUGAAACAUAAUAAUAAUGACCAGCACUUUAUAUGAGGCAUUCCUUAUUGCAAGGACUUUUGAGUUACGUAGGACAGUUUCAUCUUACUUGGGCCACAAGAGCAACUAGUUGGGGGCGAGAUGGACUACCAAAAAAAGCAACUGCAAAACUGAGUAAAACAAUGGAUUAGCACAGAACCAAAUAUAUAACAAAAUUACAAAAUUUUCCAUUUAUCAAUUACAAAUGAAAAUUAAACAUUCAUUUCAGUGACAUAAGCCAACUCUUAAUGGCGAAAAGAUACAGCUCUAGGUGGAUACAUGGCAAACCAAAAAUCACAACAGAUGGAUGCGUAUGUAAAUCAUUCCGAAUUUUUCCAGAGAGUCUUAGGCAUGGAACAUUUACAUGGAAUUUCAAACUUAAAAUUUAUUUCAUAGAGGAUAAAGUAAGAAUGAGAUAUAAAAAAAUCAAUCUUCAAUCCUAGUUCCUUUUGGGCCUCCCUCAUGAAUCGUGCCAAAAUGAAACUUGUUGUUUUCAGUAUGAACUUUAUCAAAAUUACCUCAGGUAACCUCUCAAAUAAUCCAGUACAUUUCCUUGUUUGUGUUGGCUUCUUACACGUGCAGACAUUCAUACAAGUUUGACAAUGGACAAAAUAAGACUUGCUCAACUAAGGACAGGACUGAGCCUAAGCUCACUAACUGGUUCACCCCAUUUUAACACCAGAGCAAUAUCACGACACCUAAAUUUUUCUUUUUUAAAAAAAAAGAGAUGAGUCACAAAUUUUAUUAAUAAAACGAGACUAAUGCUCAAAGUACACGAGUGAUAUACAAAGAGCACACAAAUGAAGAGAUUGAGGAUUAUCACCGCAUCUAUGUUGUAGUGUCUCGAAAAAGCAUCCUUCAAUGCACAUGUACUCUUAACCCAGCACAUAAACUUCUCUUUUCAUCUAUUUCUUUUUUUUUUAUAAGAAACAUGUGUAUUCAUAUAACAAAAUAGAACAACCUAAGGGCAAGAGACAAGAGGGCCCUCCCCAGAAGAAACUAAAAAUGAUGGUCUUCCAAUUGCCGAAUAUCAUUGAAAGGCCAUAGUUACAAAAGUGUUUGGUGUAAUUCUAUUCUCUUUUCAUCUAUUUCUUAAAAGAUAUGUAUUUAAAAACUGUGAAAUACUCUUUAAAAGUUAUUAUUUUUGUGUGCAAUAAUUUUUCAAAAAUUUGCAUUACCUUAUUCAAAAUAUUAUUAUCUUUUCAUAUCUAAAAAAUUGUUCACAUUUUUCUCCUGUGUUUCUCAAACAUACCUCAUUUUUCUUUGUGUUUUGCACUUAAGGCCCAAAUGUCUAUCGUUGACUGGGCGUACACACAUACAAAAAAAUCAUAUUGAUAUAUGACAAACAUAACAAACUUUGGAACAAUGGAGAAAAAAUAUGGCAUUAAUUAGAAAACGUAAAGAGGGGGUUAUAUGUACAAACCGAUUGAGCUUCACCAUGGACCUGUGGAGAGCAAUGAAGAUACAAGUGCUACCACUCAUUCCCUACAAUAAGUAGAUCUGAAAGUUAGUGUAACAAAACAUUGAGGAUCAUGAAAACCAUCACAUGCAGUUCCAGAUGUUAGACAAUAUCCAUUCCAUUGUUUAUGCAUGUGGUGGUUUUCAUAAGGAAGGAAAGUGGUCCGUGGCAUUCAUUAUAAAGGGAAACAAACAUGUGAGAAGCAUCAAAACAGCCUAGAACGUGAAAGAAUGAUAAGCAGAGAGCACCUAACCAUUCACAGUUCUGAAAAGCCUAGGAAUACAAAUAAAAGCACAACAAAUGUGAUGCACGGGGAAGAGAAAAGAUUGAAAGUAACCUCGUCACUAGGAUAUAAGAAUGUUGAUGGACGUAAAUUGUGAUAAUCUUUUAAGCAGCUUAAUGGCUUGAAACCUAGAAGCUGAAGAUGUCCAGCAGAUACUCUCUUGAUCUCAGAUAACUCCUCCCCAGAGAAUUUUAUUACCUGACUAGAUAUCAAGCAAAAUUAUUUCACAGAAACUCACCAAGUAAUAUAUGUAUUACUGUACUAGGCCUGCAAUAAAAGCAUAAAUAUUUUCCGGUUUCAAUAUAUGUUGCUUCAAUAAUUUGCAACUUUUCCUAGUCCCAACCACUUCAAAGUAAUAUGCAAUAUAAUUUGCCAAUGAAUUAUCCUACUUCAAUAAAAUCAAAGGAAAAAAAAUAAUUGGCAAUGAAAGAAACAAUUUAAAGAAGAAAUUUUACGUUUAGUAUGAAGAAAGCCUAAAGUACAUAAAACUUACUUUUUAUAAAGCUGAAAUCUCUUUGAAGGUUCCAGAAAUAGUGCACCUGUAUCUGCACAAAUGAAUGACCUCUCUGUCUGCAUAUUCCAACAAAAACAAAAUUUAACUCAUUAUCAGUGCUCAGCGUCACCAACAGUGACAAAGUAAGGCUAUAAAAUAAACUGAAAGCAAUCUAUUGAAAAGCCAGAGAAUAUAGCAGGAAUGGCAUUAAUUUUACAGCAAGUUGGUAACUGAGAGGCGAGAGCUACCAAAACCUCCCUUGGCAAUGUAUUUCCAAGAUUUUUAAUUAGUCAUAUAUUCCAAAAUUGAUCCCUCGUAAGUCAUAAUAAACUUUGGGAGGUGCAGACAUACAGAUGAGAUGAUUCAUACAGGUCCUUCAUACUGAAACAUAAAAAACCUAAGGUAUGAUUGUGUGCUAAUAAAGUUCAUUCUUCGGAAAUACUGAGGAAGUCAGAAGGAUUUAGAAGUAAGGUCUGAUUCAAUUCAGUCUUAAAAGCCAUUGAGAAAAAUUUUAGAUUGAUCCUUUUUUGCCCCAAGUUAUGAUUCAAAUACAAUGUAGUAUCUUGUAUAAUGUAAUUUUAAACUGAUCAACUUGCACCUGUACAAAGAGUAGUGAAACUUAAAUAGGAUACUGUUACCUUAAGUGGACGGUUUGAGAUAGAAUCAAGCCAAGUGAUUGCUCCUGUAAAUCAAGAUGAGGGAAGCAAUCUCAAGUAUUAAACCCACAAACGUGCCUAAGAAAAUGUUCCAACUAAAAUAUAUUGGAAUGCUGGUACCAGGAAGGGUGGGACGAAUCAAUGCAUAACUAUUAACGUCAAUUGACAAUUUAUUGGUGAUAGACAAUUUGAGUCUCCUGACUACACGCUUCUUGAACAUCCGUUUCUUCAGUUGAUCCUUCAUAUCUUGUAAUCUGAAAUUUAUGGUUGACAAGAAAACAAGUGAGAGAGACAAGUGAGACAAUUAAAGAUAUCUCAUCUUCUCAUGACGUUGUUAGAUCCUUUACAAGUAUCCUCAUUUUGGAAAACUGGAAGAUCAAAGGAAAUGAUAGCAUUACAUGCUAGCAUUGACAGAUACAAGAUAGUUUCCUGUUGGUUGUAAACAUGUUGAUUAGUUGUAAAAUCAUAAAGGAUUUUAUUUUAUUCUUAUUAGGAUACUUUACUUUUAUCUAUGGAGCCUUUCUCCUAUGUAAGAAGGCUUGUAUCUUAUGGUUGAUUUAUUGGAAUAUAAAAAUAUUUGAUUCCAUUCAAGCUUAGAACUACCAUUUUUCCAUUUUCUGUAAUUUAAAAAUAAACAGCAUUUUCUCUCCCAUGAUGUACACGUCACAAUAUCAAAAUUGUUCAGAUAAAUACCAACUGCCAAGUACAAUUAGGCACCAAUAUACCUAUCUCCUGCUGAAGGCAAAUAUUGAACAAGAUCACCCCCUUCUAGUCCAACCAAAUCCUAGAAUCGAAAAAUAUUCAACCAGUUGGUAAAAUGAUGAAUCAUUUACAUCCUUAUGAUAUCCAACUGGAGAGAAACACAUACAGCGUAGAAAAGAGAGAGAUUAAACUGCUCAUUAGGGCAACUCAGUGGGAAAAGUUCAAUUGAAAUGCCAAGAUCUUGAGCAUCCUGGAAAAGAGAAACAUAUAACUUUCAACGAGCACAAUUCCACAAACAAAACCCACAUAUAUCAAGCAUUUAUAAACAAAUGCACCUACCUUUGCUCUCUGUAAUGUAGUUCUUAUCAAAUCAAAUUUAGUAGCACCUUUGAUACUUCCAAAAGGAUCAUCUUCAUUUGUAAACAAAAGAAUCCGCUUAUCAAGUGUCUUUGCAGAUCUGAAACAAUUUUUUUUUGUGUAAACAUCAAGAUGGCAUUUCUCUUUUGUGUGUCUAUCAUGGGUAGACAGAUAGGUAGAGGGUUGGGGUUGAUAUUCCACCAAUUAUACAAUACUUUUAGAUUAGUAAGAAUAAACAUACAAUAACUAAAUUUCAACUGUAAAUUUGAAAUAGCAAUGUACUACCCUUUCCGCAGCAGCGCUUGGGCUGCCCAUAAAGCAUUGUAAAGAGCAUUCUCACGAGAACCUGAGACAAUACCAUACUGACUUCCAAUCUCUUUCAUAAAUACUUCUGCAAAAAUAUUAAUAAUUACAAUAAAGAAUCAGAUAUACUUUGAUUAGAAUCCAGAGAAAAUAAUCGACCAUCUAAAACAGCUAUCUCCAUUCUUUGGUACAAUGUAAACAAUGAAAAGGAUUACUACUAAAUAUGGAAAAACCAUAAGCAGCAUCCUCUUCUCUCAGUCAUGCUCCCAGUAGUUGACCAUUCCAUAAUCAGCAAAGAGAUAACAAAGUUAAAUUUCUUGUUUGAUAACUGUUUGACUUUAGAUUUUUUCCUUUUGAAAAUUAAGCAUCUAAGCAUAACUAUCAAUGAGUUCCUUUGUUUGGUUGUUUGCUUUUUAACAAUGUUUUAAAAAACCAAGCUAAGUUUUGAAAACUAAACAAAAAUUGUUUUUAGUAACUUAUUUUUAUUUUUCGAAUAUGGCACAAAAUUGAAACGUUUCUUUAAGAAAUGUGAAAAUGGUAAGAAAAAGGUUGUGAGGAAACAACCAAAGUUUUCAAAAACAAAAGACUAAAAACAAAAUUGUAAUCAAACAACACAUAAGUCCUCCUAUGUUUUUCUUUUUCUUUUGCUUUUUGGGCAAAUCAUGUUGUAGCUUUUCAGUAUUGAAAUAGCUCUUCUUAAUUGGACUCCAAGGUAUAUAUUGAUGUAGUAGGUUUAGAGUAAAUUAGGGUAUCUUGGUCAAAUCACUAUUUAGGCUUAUGAUUAAUUUCCUUGAUUGAUUACAAUUAAAAAUAGUUUGCUUUCCAAUCUCUAUAAAUAGUGGAAUUGUCUUCUUGUCUUGAUAAGAUUUGAUUCAAUGAUAAACACUUUGAUUAUAUUAUUGGACAUUUUCCUCAAUAUUCUUGUAUACGAUGGGGAAAAUCGGCAAUACCAAAGUUUCUUCCAAAAAUAAAUUUGCACAAAUUUUCCUUGAGAGCAGAGGUACCAUACUUACUUAUAUUUCUUUAUAGAUAUUAGCAUCUCCAUGAAUUUAAUGGUCUCCUGGUUCAAAUUUUCCUUUUGCUAAAGUUACACAGAGAGAUUAUUUACAAGGUAAUAAAUUUUUGCAAAUGUAAGAGCUUAUCCCUCCAAAUAUAGAUGAUAUCAACAAGCUGACUAAGUAACUAACAAAAGAACAAAACCAACAACCACUAAAAAUCAAUUGACAAACUAAGUAACAACAAACAUCAGCAAAAGUCACAAAGCAAACUCCCAUUUCACUCGCUACAUCAACUAGUCAUCCCUAUGACCCAACAAGAUAAGUAAUUAUGUAGUUACCCUCUAUGCCAUCAAUGGUUUUUAGAAGCCUUGCUGUCGGUCGAUCAAGAUCUUCUCGCUCAGGGACAUUAAGCACAAAGACACCAUUUAGAUCCUGCAAAUUCUUCUUUUCCCUCUAGAAAAAAGUCAAAUUAGAAAAUAAGUACAUUAGGCUUCAACUUGUAGCAUGCCAUAAAUAGAAAAUUCAAAAUACUUUUGGAGUACUUAAGCAUGACUACAUUCAAGGACAUAAGAUGCAGCCUGCAGUGCAUAUUUUCUUAAAUUAGAAAGGAAGAAAACUGCAUGACACAAAUUGGAAUGUAAUAAGCAAACUAGAUGUCACAAAUUUAAUCCCACAUUCCAAUUCAAUUCCCUAUUAAACCAUAAUAACAAAAGGAGGAAGACAAAACCAAACGCCUGGCGGCUUUGAAAUAAAUUUGGAGACUAAAAGAAAAAAGUUCUAGAUUGAGGUAAGUAUUAUGUGGAUGCAUCUUAUACAGACUUUCUUAUGGACCACAGGACCACAUAGAAGGAAUAAAACAAUGAAAAGGGAUGCACUUUUGAUAGCUUUUUCGAAAGCAUUAUCUAUCUUGCUAUGACUUGGUACAAAUGUACAUCUUUAUACAAUCUCUCUUCCCUUUUGACCAAUAGGAGAAUUCUUUUGUAACAGGAUUUUUGCCCAUCUUUUGCAAAUUUCAUACACCAAUGAAAUUUGUUUCUUAUUAAAAAAAAAUGGUAGGAUUAGAGAGAUGAAUGUAGCCACUUAGCAAGAUAUCCUUUAGUGACCCCUCAAUUUUAUAGGAGCUUUACCGUCUGUGUAUAAUCAUUCUUAUCAAUGAAAUUGAAGCUGUUUCAAAAUAAAUCCCAAGGUUAUGCAACUCAGCCCUUUCCCAUUCCCGUUGUACUAUUUUGCAAAGAAAGUUCUAAAGAUCUUGGCCAAGUUUUCCUUAGAUGCCACUUUGCUAACAGGUUUUGGGAACCCUUAUAGCAACUCACCUAUGGUUUUCACAAAAAGUACCAAAAGUUUUAUGGAGGCAUCCAUGGUCGAUUACCCUUUCAAAAAGGAGAAAAAGACUCCACCUACAAUUGAUUCAAUCUUCAUUUUUUGAAUCAUGGUUAGAACGAAACACUAGAAUAUUUGAUGGUUCAGAAAAAGCCAUAAAUAUCUUUCUCGACAAUGUUCAUUUGUUGGCCUUGUUAAAUCAUCAAUCAACCUAAAAGCUUAAGUUGUUAGGUUGUGGAAUUUAAUAUUAUGUCACACUCUAGCACUCUCCCUCACUUGUGAGCAUGAACAUUUGUUGAAGGCUCAACAAGUGGAAUUCAAUAUUAGCUGGAGGGGAAAUGACUUUACACAAGGUUCAAACUUAAGACUUCUAAUACCAUGUUAAAUCGCCAAUCAACCCAAAAGCUCAAAUUGUUUGGUUAUGAUAAAUUUAACAUUAUACCAACACUCUAACAAAACAAGCCUAUCAUGGUGAAAAAUAUAUUCCUAAUUAAAUAGUUACAGCCUAUGUGAUCUUCAUACUGUUUGAUAGAAUUUCCCAUGAUCUACCUUGGUUUGGGAUUUGUCUUUCACUCCUCACUUUUUUUCUAAUUCCAUAUCAUCUAUGAGAUCAUUAAUUUCCCGUCAAUAUAACCAUAUUGUCUCUCUUCAUGCUAAAUUGACUAAAAACUAAGGUAGGCCUCCAACAGGUCAAGUACUCUUGAAUCCGUAAAGGAAAUUCUAAGUAAAAACAAGUGAGGUUUUAGGCCAACAACAUACUGUGUUAAAAAAGCAUAUGGCAACUUCAUCAUAACUUCUGUUGAUGAUUUGAGUCUUCAAUGAUUGUGAAAUGCAGCUCAAAGCAACUUGAAAAUGGGUUUCUUCUUUUUUAUCUUCCUGGAAGCCAAAAAUGUAGUAGUCAACAGUCAGUAUGUACUGGAUAGCAUAUUUCAUUCAUCAAUAACACAUACUGAAUAUAAAAAAAAAAAUCAGAAACCACGGAGCACUUUCAAGCAUGGAGAAAGAGUCUAAUAAGAGCUAGACAUCAGAAAAGAAAAUAACAGCAAAGAGUGAUAGAAUUAUAAAGGAAAACUACAAAACCCCAAACAGAUUAAGAGGUCUGGAAAUGAACUCCCAUGGAAAACUAAUACGCAAACUCUGCAUACCUCAAUCCCCCUAAUUCACUCUACCUAUUAUCAUUCUUCAUAUCCUUCCUUGAUAAUGACAAAAUAUCUUCGCAAUACCCUAAUAAUAUCACUAAUAUUUCCCUGUUAACAUUCUUAAGGGAAAUUCAGCAUAUUCAAUGAAUCAUAAAAACAACAUCUUUGAAUAAUCACAAAGGCACAUCAUAAGCUGACUUCUAUCAUCCUACACCUUAGACCGUACACGAACAGGAGACAAUUAUCAAAAUCCCAAAUGAAGAAUACUAAUAAGAUGUUAUAUAUGACAACAUUGAAGUUGAGGUAGUGAGAAAUCAUCAAGCAAAAAAAAUCGUUUUUCUUUUUUUUUUUCCCUCUUAACAAAACAUCUACUGUCACUAACGGUAAUGCCCCAAGCCUAGGAUUCAGAAUCUAGAUUCAGCACUUGAUGGCCCCGGUACUCCCUUGCAUCCAUGCUACGUCAUCCUUGCUUGUCUAUAGUGCUUCUAAGAGUGAAAGUUAUCCCCAUAAACCAACAAAUGUCCUUUUAGGAUGCGUUUUCCACACAUACAUCCUAGAAAAAUUCUUAGUAGGUCACCCAACAUAGCUCCAAACUAAGUUUCAAUGAUUGAACCAUCAAACAGGAAGGUGUACCUUUGUUGAUAUAGAUGUAACUUUCAGUUCUUUUACGCAUUUCAUGAUCGUACCUUCAUGUCCUCAAGAUCAAUCGUUCAAUGUCAUAUCAGUUCAUUCACAUCCCUCCUAAACUCUGGGUGUUAAAUUAUCUAGAAGAAAUCUAAUUGUUUUAGAGAAUAGGAUAUAUAUUUAAACCACCAACACCAGAUUUCGCGAUAUCAAGUCUUUUUCGCCUAAAUACACUAACACACAGCGCUCACUUCAAGCUAAAGAAAAAUGAAUAAAAUCCUAAUAACUUGUCCAGCCAUUACAGAAUCACAAUAAGCUUCAGCUGGAGGAUUGAAACAAAGAGAAAAGGAAAGUAGCAGCCAGCAGUAGGAACAAAAAGAGUGGAAAAAAAAACUCACGGAGAGACAAGUCGUGGUGAACAUUUUAGGGGAAGCAUCAACCAAGUAAACCGCCAGUUCCUUCGUCGACUCCCUUUCCUGUUGACCAAAUAAAGCAGAGAAAAAUGGAAGGGAAGUAAGGAAAUGGAGCAAGAAGAAGAAAUGCAUGCAUAAUGUUAUUGUAUUGGUAUGAACCUGAAAGAAUGGAUUGUCGGGAUCGUCGUCGUCGUCUCUAAAAACCUCAUCCGGGUCCAAAUCCAUGGCGAGUUUGAGAAGAAGAGGUGAAGACUUCUUUUUGCUCGUCGCAGCUACAGCUACAGCUACUGCUUCUCUUGCAAGCUUCGUCUCUUGCAAAGUGACAACGGUCGUUUAAAUAGAUUGGCAAGUUAGGAUCGUCAUCGUCCUUUAGUCUCUCUACAAAUACCUUCGAAAUUGGUCGAUGUAGCCUAUCACCAAUAAAAUUAAUAUGUGUUACUUCUCAUAAAGUUCUCUAUACUUUGUUAAUGGAUUUAAUACACAUACAAGCAUAUAUGUAUAUUUCAUUCAGGUGAAUUGAAGUUUGUUGUAAUCUAAAAGAUUGAUAUUAAAUUACUAACUUUUUUAUCUCUUGAUCGAGCAAAUCUGUGAUGAAAUUACUUGAUGAGUUCAUACAGAGAUGAGUGCUUGUUAGUUAGACUUUGUUGUCCAUGUGUGGAAUAAAAUGGUAAUUUGCUUUUCAAAAGUUUUAAAAUGUUGUUUAAAUUACAAAUCUAUUAUUCAAAAAGUUCAUUAGGUUCUCUUACUACUAGUUUAUUACUGUGUGCUUAGUUAAGUUGUAUGUCAUCUCACUUGUUAUAAUAGUAACACCUUUAAGACUAACAAUUUAGUGUAUACCGAUAUUUCUUUAUUUAUUUUUUUCUUUUCUUUUUUUUAAAGGUAUUGAAUUAAUAUGCAAGUGAGUGAAUUGAAUAUUUUAAUCUCAAGAUUGAUUGAUAGUACAAGCAUUAUGUUGAUUGAAUUAAGCUUAUUUUGAUAAAUAUAGAAAAAAAUUGUCAUUGAUAAACUAAACACCAAUUAGUAGUUGAGUUUAUUGUUGAUAGUCUCAUGUUAGCAAUAUAAUAUAUUACUUAUAUACUCCGAGAGAUAGAUCAAAAUAUUGUUAUAUCUACAAAUUCAUUUGCAUAGCGUUAUGGUUGUUAAAUAUUUUGGGUCUAAUUGCGAUAGUUUCAACUACUCUAUUCAUCCGUAAUUGACUAGAUAAUAUUUGAUAUAUAGGUUUAAAUUCAUGUGUUAUUUUUUUAAUUUCAAAAGUAUUGUGUAGUUGGCCAUGGUCGGUCAAUUUGAAUGUCUCAUAUUUCUAAUGAAAAAAAUACAAGAAUUUGAAUAUGUAACUCAUAAACACGAGACGAUAAUAAAAUAGACAACUCCUAGGAGGUCAUCUGAUUACAAAAACGAAAAGUAGGGGUGAAAGUAUGUUAGAGAUCAGUCAAAAUGACAACAAAGUCGAUACUAAUCAAUUUGGAUAUCAUAGAUAAACAUAUUUUGGACAAACUAAUUAAAGAAGAGAUGGACAUAAUUAUAAAUUUGUUGUGUGUAUACAAAUGGCUGUCAACUAACAACCAUAUGAAAAAUUAUUUAAAUUCACACAUCACUAUUUUAUUAUUUAAUAAUGACAGGUUGCUAACUCGGUUAGUCAAAAUAUUGAAAAUAACGAUCCCUUUUAAGUUAGAAAUUCAAAUCUUCCUGUAACAAUAAAUUUAUAUUGGAUGUUUGACAGCUACUUGCAAAAAUCUUUUCACCUGUUAAGGGAUGUAAAAUUUAAAGUGUCUUCAACUAACCCACAAACUGUGAAUUCAAAGAUUUUCCUAACGUUCCAAUCACCACUUACACACCAUUGUUCUACACAGCCAACUUAGUAUUUAGUAUUUUAAUCUUACUUCAAGUCUUCCGAGUUCAAUAAUUGUGUAAACUAGAGAAAUAAAGAAAAUGGAGUUCUUCCAUAAAUAUCUAAAUUUCAAUAAUAUUAGAAAUUGAGAAAUUGAGUUGUUUAAUGCUAACUUGUGAGCCGACUCGACAUUGACAUUGUGUUCAGUACUCUUUUCUGAACUAUGCCGACGGAAAUUUUAACUUAUGUUAGCUGCCGACAGAGUGCUUUUCUUAAUCCCCUCUAAGAGACUUCCAAGGAGAGAGCAAACCAAAAGGACAGAUACUAAAUAUCACUAAUAUGAAGAUACCUAUUAAUAACCAAUAGUUGUUAUUUAUUCUUGGGCAACUCUGUAAAUGAUUCAACCCCACCACAACCAAACAUGCAAAAAGAGAGAAGAUCAAAGAAAAAUCAUGAAAGGACAAGGCAGAUAAAAAAUGGCAUCAAACACAGAGGACCAUGUCGGCAACAUAAAUGUCGAUCAACAAACCAAAUUGUUUCACAGUAAUACAGAUAUAUUACAUACGAAGCGAUUCAUUGACAUCUCAGAAACACAGGAAUCCUAGGAGUAUAAAUAUGGAGAAAAAGAAUACAGAUUAUUCAAUACAAACAUACUGAUCGUUCAACUAAUUUACUGCACACUUUAAAUAAUUGUAUAAGGAUGUCUUGAUUCUUACUUGGGCUAAUGGAAAUUCUUGAUGCUUAGAAGCCAUAGUGGUGGAUAAAAUCUCAAGAAGAUGAAGCUGGGGGGACGUAAGUUGGAUUAAACGGGACCUGCUCGGCACAUGUAAGUGUGUCAUGAGUCCCAGACUCAUCACGACUGAGACCCAUCAGAUCGAGGUAAUAUUGGUAAUGAGAGAUAAUGUUGUUCAUGGGGUCAAUAUCGCCCUUCCCACAGAUGGAAUCGCCGUAGAGAAUAUUCAUGGUUGCGCCGAAACCAGGAACCCUUUUGGACAAGGUGUCGUUCUUGGUAGGCUUCCAAUUGCCAACAAAGACAUCAUGGGGUGAAGGCUGUGACUUCUUCACUGGGUUCAUCCACAUCCAAAUUGCAGUUUGGAAUCCAAUGGUAGCAUUCUGCUCAAUAUAUUCAGGAUGAUUCAACAGGUCAAUCUUCAAUGCAUCCCCAAUCUUGCCGUAAUUGUAAUUCCUAUGACAACAAACAACAAUAAGAACUCAGUCAAAUUCUCAUGGAUUGGGGAUCAGAAUGUUAUGUUCAUACUUCCUUCGAACCUAACUAGUAAUCAACAUCUUAUCAGAUUAGUCCCUAAUCUAAACAGACAGAAAAAGGUGCCAUUUGCAUUUUCCAUCAUGAUAUGUUAGAUUAGAGACCUGCAAGUGACCAUUGAUCAAAUAGUAGUUAAAGGGAUUAAGUGAAAGAACAUAAUGGACUAUGCAUAAACAAGGAACACAGCUAUAAACCAAUGUUAGAAACCCAUAUUACUAAACAAAAGCCACUGAAAAACGAAAAUGGGGAUAGAAAACGUCAAACCAGUAAAUGGGCAGAGCACCACGGCCAUAAUAUUGAGCACCAGGAGCACAAGGAUAAGUGAGCUUGAAGUAGUCAUUGCAAUAGUCCUGGCUUGGACUCAGUUCCUUGUUGAAACAGAGUCCCCAAGCAAGUGGCCCUCCCGUGACAACUCCAUCACCACCUACAACAAGCAUUUCACACACAUUCAGCAAAAAAUCAAGUUCAAGUAAUAUUGAAUUCAAACACUGCACAAUCAAUCAUUAAGAGAAAACCCAGAUCCUCAAAAAGCAGAAAGAAGUGUGUUUUUCACUUACAAGAGGUCUUAGAGCCAACAUGGCCAAAGAAAGCAGCAAUCUCUUUCAUCUGCAUCUUUUUAUCUCCAGUUGUUCCAAAUCCGAGCGGCUCGAACUGGGCGGCGGCGAGAAUGAAGGAAUGGAAGUCCCAGAAACCGACGGCAUGAGCCACCGGCGAAUUACGCUUAGCGAAGAGAUUCUCAAAUUGAUAGGUCUCAAAGUAGUCGGUAAUGGUCAAAUUGCAACAAUAAGUAGACCAAGUGCACUCCCAUCCUCUAUCGCAAAGCCUCUUCCCCUUCACAACCUUAACCUUCGGCUUAAUCGGGGAUUCAUCCCCACUCACAACAGACGCCAUUACAAUCAGCGCCAGUAUCAGCAGAAGCGAGUGGUUGAAAGCCAUUUUAACCUCUCCCCACUGCAAACCCAGAGAGAAAAAAAGCAUGAAUUUCAAGGUGAUUUAAUCAAAAUUUCAAUGAGAAGAGAAUGAACUCUUGUUGUUACCUGAAAUGGCAGCAGGGAUUGAUUGGACAGAUCUGAGAAGGGUGUUUGUGUGAAACUUGCAAAUGUGGAAAAUGAAGAAUAAGGAGGAGAAGGAGAAGGAG